AUAUGUUAAUUCAUUUUGAUAACUUGCAUUAAGCAGUAUUACUGCACUCAUUUGUCCACGUAGACCAAGUGUACCACUCGGGUUUGACACAACAUAAAAAGCACCACCACUUUUAAUACAAUCAAUUUUCUCCAUCCAUAGUGACCAGAUCCAGUUGCUAAGGAUUUAUGUUAGAUUAGACAAAAAUGGUCUUAGCUGCACACCUGCAGUAUUAUACUAUUAUGCCUAGUUAAUUACUCCCUUAACACCGUCAAACUGUUCCUCGCCACAUGUCAUUAUCUUCUUAUUACGAGCACAUCAUACCAGGACCCUGGUCACGUUUCCGAUCUCCCUUUGGCCCGACAAAGCUCGCUUUGUGAUCCCAACUACUGCAAUCCUUUGAAUAAGUUCCUGGCAACCUGUUCAACAAUGUUGAUUUCCCAAACAAAGGACACACCGCAAAACAACACAUGCAUCUCCACUUUUUAUCACAUUGCAUCCCUCACCAGCACAACCACCACCGUUCUGGUCUUUGUAGGAGUAUAAGCAACUCCCUCUGUAAUUUUGCAAGUAUUUCACAUCAGUGGUAAUCAACUAAUCAUGGAUAAUACAGUAUAAACUAAAAAACCAUGAAUUUCAUUGCCCUCUUCUACAGAAAAAUACAAAUUAUAGAUCCAAAUUUUACAUAGUCCUGAUGCCCCUUUUAUGCUUCUUAAGAAAAAGGCUACAAAACUGAGAAACAACAUUUCAAAAUAUAAGUACCUAGUCGGAAUGACCCAUUGGUGGCAUCAUAUAUAAUGUGUGGAGAUUUAUAAUUACACUAAAAUAUGUGUGACAUACCUGUACAAAAAAUAGUCUUUUUUACGAACCCGCAUUAAAGAACAUAUAACUGGCUUAGGUUGGAACUUUGUUUAGUCCGAGUCUCCGAGACAUGCCCAUUUUGCAAAGAUGGCCUUGAUGAAAGCGCCCAAUUUUUUCCUCAUCUAAGAGCUUCUAACUCAAAUGACCGGUACUCACCCUUUUUUUAUCAAACUUGCAACACUUUUGAUCACCAUCUAGGGGUCCUAGGCCAAAGUGAAUGACAUAAUAGAGAAUAACCAAUAACUAUUAUGUAGGACAACUUAAAUGGCUGUUGGUAAUGAUUUGUCAUUGUUUUGUGAAGCGCAUGAAAGCUGUUGGUUAGACAAAAACUGUUGAAACUCGUAUUUUCGUGUACACAUGUGUGAAUAAGGAGAAUUAUCAUUCUUCAAUUGAGCAAAUAUGAAAGAACCCUGCUAUGCUACGGGAAUGCAUCCCAAAGAAUGAGAAUCUGCUAACUUAGUGUAUACCUUAUAAAAUCAUUUCGGUCAUCCGCUGAGCAAUCUUGUAAAGGCUUUGUGUAAUUUCCAAGAAAUGCCUCAUAUCUAGUGUGUUCUGCACCAUUUUCACCUGAAUCGGUCACAAAAAAUCAACUUGUUCAUCUAAAAUAAACAGGGUUCUACUCAUACACCAGAAACGGAUAGUUGAACCACCAAACAUUAUAUCUACACUGGCCACCUGACAUUAUGAUCACUUGUCGUACCUAUUACAUGAAAAAAAAGUAUACGUCAUCUUUCGUAAAAAGCUUAUGAUCUAAUUCUGUGUUGUCAAAAGACACUUAUUCAUCUAUUUAUUUGCUAAUAUACGGGUGUGGCUCCAUGCAGGUGUUUCUCAACUUACAAAGAACUGUACAACCUAGAAAACUUGAAACAUCUGCUUUAUUGUCUAUUGCCUGACAAGCUUCCACAUUGGGACAGUAGAAAUCGCUAGGACAUGAAAAUAUCAAAGGGUCCCUACAGGUUCUAAAGUAAGCCUCAUGGUUGCACUUGCCUAGUUUCAGAAAGGGCUAGCGAAUAAAAGCCCAACUAUAUAACUGAAACGUCUAAUCGAUUAUUAGCCAACAUCUCCUACGGCUGAAUUUAAAAUCAUUCGAAGUAAGAAGAAAUAAAACUGAAAAUGGAAGGACACUACUGACAAAUAGCAAGCAAUACAUAGAUAUUGUGGCUACCUUGGAAAUGUGCACCCCCAGGCUUGUAUGAGCUCCAGAACACUUGAUACAAAUGAACGCACCAAAAGUUAAUGAUCUGCAAAGACAACAACAAUUGAAGAUUGAGAAUAAUGUGGAACACUCAGUCUCAGAUACCAUGCACGCUGGACAGAAGUUUUACCUUAUCUCAUAAGAAAAUAAGAAAUACACAUAGUGUUGUAACUUAACUGGGUCGCCGCCGUCGACCCCAGCAAGGCUGAGAAGUAGCUCCCACACUCCGGCGCCAAGGCCGCCGUCAUUGAAACGGCGUUGACGGUGGCGGCCGAAGUGCGGCGAACAUAACUUAUCAUUAUCAGUUUAGAGAAGAAGCAGAUAAAAGAUUACAACCAAAUAUACCUGGAAAAUGUAUAUCAGCAAUAGAAUAUUGGCUGCAAGCCAAAUAAAUAAGCAUACUUUGCCAGAUGACAACCAACUAAAAAGCAAAAAGAAGCAAAAGUUGAGGGCAGAACAGAGCAUCUAUAUAUACCUGUAUCACUGAUGAAUAAAAUUAAUAAAAUCCUAAUAAAGAUGGUGCAGUAGUUUUUCAGACUCAAUGAUAUGGAGAUGUUACUCACAUUUUGGGACACCUUUGUACAAGGUCAUUAAACUGCAUCUCACGGGGGGUAAGACAACAAGCUUGUUGCAGAUUUGAAAACAUCAACGGAAGACCCCUUUACCCCGUCAGGCCCAUUGUAACUUGUAUGUAUAGGUACUCCAAUCCUUAGAAGCAUCCCACAACAAUGUUAGAUGAGAGAUUGAAAAAAACACAGUAGCACACAUGGUCUUCCUCGCACAACUAUCAUCAAACACCCAGCGUACAACGACCCACAUGUUUUAACUCAAUUGGUGGAGAGGAAGUAGGGCCUUGACAGGGAUGUAGCGUACCAAGCCUUCUUCCUCCUCCUCCUGUGGAGGCGUGGAGGCCGGGGCAGCUUCUGCCGCCGCCCGGAUCCAGGGCAGUAGAUGGAGCGCGGCGGCAGCGACCACCACGGCCGAUGAAAGAGUACCUACACGGGCGGGGAAGUGCGCCGGACUGGAGCUUAUGGUGGCGGCCUCGUCUCGCGGAGGCGGCGGAGAUGGUGGCGGCACGCGCGCAGCCGCCCCAUCGGUGGCAAGUGUCGGGGCGGCACAGGAGGGCAGCGGAGUUGGGCUCGCAUGGGGGAGUCACGAGAGUGCGGCGGCGAUGGGCUCGCGUGGAGGCGAUAGGGCGGGGCGGUUGGGAGGGCAGCACGAUUGGGGAGAGAAAGAAAAGGAUUGUGGGUAUGGGGCGAGAAAUUAGGGAUACCGAUGUCAUUAGCGUGAUUCGGGUGGAAUCCAUCGGCUGUUGCGGGCCAGGCCGCGGGAUCGUGGACGCGGGAGUGCUAGGAGAUUGGGCAGACGACGCGUCUGCUCGGCAGAACAUUGGAUCUGGGCCGUUGAUUUGGGUGGCUAACCAGUAACGUAAUAUGAGCAGUAGGAUAUGUUUAGGUUGGUUUAAUCGGAAGGUCCUGGUUAUCUUGUGUACAAUUUGUUGUGUGGCUUUAGGAGAAUUCAUGUUUGCUCUUUUAAUAGUAGUAUAGAUGUAUGGUAGGGAGUAACUUCAAAUUUCUGAGAUUUUACUUCACUUAUUUUGCUUAGGUCUUGCUUAUGACACUUCAAAAUGCUCCCCCUGGUCUUGAUUAUGAAAGAGAUAAGAAAUUCUCAAGGGUAAAUAUAUUUGAGACGAUCCAUCACCUCUGUGUUAUUUAUCUGAGGACUUAUGCAUAUGGUUUCUUAUAACAGCAUUUCAAGCAAAUGGUAGCUAUGUGUUUGGUAAAAGAGCCUUCAAAAAGGCCGACUGCAACAAAAUUGCUCAAGCAAUCCUUUUUCAAGCAAGCUCGUUCCCAUGAUUACAUUGUUCGAAAGCUUUUGGAGGGAUUGCCUGGCCUUGGCGCCAGAUAUCAAGCUUUGAAGGUACACUGGUUUAAAUGGUGCAUGGCUAUUUAUUGGUCACUUGAUCUUCUUCACUCUUUAAUGUGGGAUCUUAACUAUUAACAGGAAAAGGAUGAACAUUUACUUGCUCAAAAGAAAAUGCCUGAUGGUAGAAAGGAAGAAAUCUCGCAGGUGCUAAUUCUAAAUUUGUAAUAUAUCAUUCCUGAAAAUGGCCCUAUUGUUGGAGUAGUAAAAUCAAGCAACUAUUUUAUCUUUAAUUGUGGUCUUUUGGCAUGUCUUGUAAAGGUGGCAGCCACAAUAAUUAAUACCCCCUCCGUCCAAUAAUAUAAGAACGUUUUUCAAGCUAUGUUAGCUUGAAAAACGUUCUUAUAUUAUGGGACGGAAAGAGUAUUACUUAUGGCAUCGGUAAUCAUGAUCGCCGAACAAAGUAUGCAUUUCAUGUUGGUUUCUUUAUCCAAAUGUUAAUUUUUAUGUUUCCCCAUAACAUGAUUAAGCAUAUUGAUAUGACCUUGUUUCUGAAAUUUUGCUAGUUAGAAAGACAAACGGGAAGCUUAUGAAUUUAUGAUUAAACCAGGUAAGGUUGGGAGGACAUGGCAUGACUACGUGAUAAAGGCCGACACUAGAGUCACUCAUGUAUCUUCUCAAACAACAGAGUUCAAAAUUUAGAUGUGGCUACAUUUUUAACACAUCCUAGAGAUCCCCCACUAUCAAUCAUAACGUUUUUAGGAAACCUAACGCACAUAUGCGCCGUAAAGAACUCUUUCUUUUAUGGUCAAUAGUCAUAGCAUCUCUGAACGAUAUCCUCCUUCACCACCUACAUGCUCCACCGGGAGUAUUUGCCAUGAUACAACUGGAACAGGUAGGGGGCUGGAGGAGGGAGAUCAGAGAAGGGCGGAGACACCAUUUUUCCGGUGGGCGACGCCGAAGCAUGAGAUAGGGUGGCCACAUGGAAUCCUAGCGUUGACCCAUCUUUCUUCACGGGAGGUGAAUGGGAGAGAAUUGGGGGUAAGAAGCAUAUAGUGCAAAUUCGGUGAAGUGGCAGGGUAGUUUGGGCAGGUUUUUGUUUAAGUUGGAAAAGCUCCUCACAAGGUGCUUCUGCCUUCGACUGAAAGCAGCCACAACGCUUCCAAAAAGGCUAAAAAUAAUCGAGCGUUUGGUUGGCCCCUAUUGGCCUGUAAGGGUGAGAAGCCGNNNNNNNNNNNNNNNNNNNNNNNNNNNNNNNNNNNNNNNNNNNNNNNNNNNNNNNNNNNNNNNNNNNNNNNNNNNNNNNNNNNNNNNNNNNNNNNNNNNNNNNNNNNNNNNNNNNNNNNNNNNNNNNNNNNNNNNNNNNNNNNNNNNNNNNNNNNNNNNNNNNNNNNNNNNNNNNNNNNNNNNNNNNNNNNNNNNNNNNNNNNNNNNNNNNNNNNNNNNNNNNNNNNNNNNNNNNNNNNNNNNNNNNNNNNNNNNNNNNNNNNNNNNNNNNNNNNNNNNNNNNNNNNNNNNNNNNNNNNNNNNNNNNNNNNNNNNNNNNNNNNNNNNNNNNNNNNNNNNNNNNNNNNNNNNNNNNNNNNNNNNNNNNNNNNNNNNNNNNNNNNNNNNNNNNNAUGAUCUACGUGAAUUCGUAGUGGAAUAUAGGCCAACUUUGUACUUCAGCAAACUGGUGGUAAAGAAAUGGUAAAGUAAAAUGAACAGUAGCUCUGGUUUAACUGAUCGGACUGUCAUUGUCCAACUGAGAACGAGGAGUGAUCUGAGCCGUUUGAUCAAGUUGAACCGUUUUGCUGGAAGCGCUACACCUAACUGAACUUGCCAAGCUAGUGCAGCGUCUUUAGAGAACUGUCCUGACAUUGCCCCCUUCUUGAGAUACGAUAUGACCUCACGGCGUUGAUGAAGAAGCACGCCACCCUUCUGUAGUGGAACGGAAGAAUGCUGGGAAUAUAUUGAUAAAAUCUGCAUCUUUCCAAGUUGCGUCCUCGGGACAAAUUCUCCCACUGGAUUAACCACCGUACCACAGGCAGGUUUUGUCGAGAAAUUUGUCAUACCUGUAGCACUAGUGCUGGAGCUGUUUUGAUGGUGGCAUCCUUAUUAACCAUAGGGAAGUCAGGGCUGGGAAUGGAUUUUUGUCCAAUAUGCAUUUUGAGCUGACUAACAUGAAGACUGGGUGUAUUUUCACAUGUUCAGGGAACUGUAAUUUGUAAGCUGUGUUGCCCACUCUCUGAAUCACCAGGAAUGGCCCACUGUAACGUGUAACAAAUGUUGCCAACCCAAAACUCUAUUAUCAUUGUUUUGAAUUUUAGAUCUGUGUCAUUUCUGUUGUACCCUUUCGGCACUGAGAUGAUUACUUUAUUGUCACCAUUAUAUUGUUUUUCAUCCAAUCCUUUGUAUCUCUUGCAUUGCUAGGAUGAAUACAAAAGGGGUAUCAGCAGCUGGAACUUUGACAUUGAUGACCUGAAGUCUCAAGCCUCACUGGUAGGCAUUUAGCAUUUUCAUUUCCACUUUAGUCAUUGACUUCACAUCAAGUAAUUUAGCUUAUUUAUAUUUUGACAGAUUUCAGAGUGUGAGGACACAAUAUCAUCUAAAGAUACAGAUAUAUCGUCUAUCUAUGACUUCGACACCAGCUUGCAGGAGCAAGCACACGAAGGAUCUCUUUUUUCAAUGAAGUAUGAUACUGACAUCGUAAGUUUUAGCUCCUGUAGAAAGUAAGGUUUUCCAAUCUAGAAUUUUCCUUACAUCUAACGCCAAGCAAAGUUGGUAGGAAAAUGAUGUCAUGGCCAAUGAUAAGUCAGCUGUUUCAUCACCCGAGCAGUCUGUUUGUCUAUCAAGGUAAUGGAUUUAAUUUGGCUGAAAUUACUUCAAUCAUAUUGUUGGUUGUAAAUGAUAAUAUCUUAUUUUAUGCCAAAUAGUUCUUGUGAUGACAUCGCGAAAUUACGUAAUAUGUCACUGUUGUACACCUGUACGACACACCUCAGAAAACUGAUUUCACUUAUUUCUACUACUAGGGCAUCUCUAUGUGGAACUUCUAACGGAGUACUGGUAAAUGGCCAUGUCAGGAAACACAGCUCUAUGGAAAGCUGUGAUUUGGACUUGCAAGAGAAAGAUUUGGAUGCUAUUCCAACAAGCUCAUUUCAGGAAAGGAAGUGUUCUUUCAGUUCUUGCUCAUCAGAUGGUUUUCUUUCUUCCAAAGAGAGGUUUGUUGUACUUCACAGAAUGAAAUUUAAACUUGAAGGAUCACCUUUUUUCCCAAGUAUACGAAAACAUGUUUUGCUUGCUGUAAUUUGAACCGUAUUCUAGAACCAGUUCCGUCUUAUCAUGAUUGUAUUUCAUAGUUUCAGUUGGCAAAAUUGCCAAUAUCUUGUAGAAUCAAACUCGAAAAACAGUUGACCAAUUACGAAAAUACAGGUCACACAAGUGCUGACAGAGACUUUUCUUAUCACGUUACAUAUGCACUGGGAAUAAACAUAACUUACUUUCCUGUAUAGUUACAUAAAAUUUUGAGAUUCUCGGUAUGCACUUUUGGUGCCUGAAGAAUUUUUUUCUGCAACUCACAGUCAAUGUCUAUGAAGUUUCAGUUUGUUAGCAGUGCCACUGAUAGGGAUGUGGUUUUUAAAAGGUUGCUUGCCUGGCUUAGCAGUUCAAUGUAUAUUUUUUAUUAGUAGCGUCUUGAUAAUAACUAUUUUGUUCAUAUGAUAGCUGCAUGGCUGUACUAUUUUUUAUAUCCAUAUUCAUGACCCUAUAACUAAUAUGGAAGCUAUAUUUACCAAAAAGGGCGUUGCGUCAAACUGGAACACAAAGCUAAAUAGUUUGACCACAUCAUUGGAAUUUCUGUUCUAUUAACCAGUGAUGUUCCACUUUUUACCAUCUGUUGUUAGACCUUGUUUGGAAUGCAGGACCAAAUUCUUGUGUUCCAAAUCAGGCCUAAUGGUGUUCUUCUGGAAGCUGCCCAUAGUAUUACUACUGUACUUGUAUCUCCUCGUGACAUAUUUUGAUACAGUGUGCAACUGCAUAUGUAAUUCUUUCAGCUCUAAGCCACAAAUCAACAUUCAUAACCGUGAGAAGGGUAGUGGAGGGGUCUUGCAAGUAGCAGAUGAGCCAUCUCCUGAAGCUAUUUCUAGGGCACCUAAAUCAUUGGGUAACAUGCUGGUUUUAUCCCUGCAGUUCGUAUAGGUUAACCUAAUGUGGGCUAAUCAGAAUAAGUUCUCAUGAGUAUGAAAAUUUGGCAUCUGUUUAUUGCUUUAAUGCAGUAUCAAAUGUUGACGAACAUGAUGAUAGAUCAAAACCUCCACUUAUACAGCAAAGAGGCCGUUUUAAAGUUACACCUGGGAAUGUCGAGUUGGAUAAGGUAACUGAAAACCAUUAAUAAUACUUUGUGCAUGUUUGGUUAACUCUAGGAUGACAUGAUUUUGUAAUUUCAGGCUCACUCACCUGGCCUACAAAAGUCUCACAGCAUGCAGGUUUUUAGUCUUUAUCCUACAUCAUGUUUCAUGGGCAUUUAUCUGUUUUGGUUCAUGAACUGGUGCAGUGCAUGUUUGGGGACUGGAGUCAUAUAUAUAUUGCGUGCUCAAAGAAUGCAGAAAAAACCAUUGUUUCCUGACUAACAACCUUAGUGGUUCCCUAUUUGGUAUAUUCGGCAGCUUUUGUGUUGGGACCUAAGCCAUGUGGAAACAUCAUUAUAACCUCUUUAAAAAUUUGAUAUAUUGACUGCAGAAUAUUAGGUUAAAAAAAGAGUUUAGAAUAAUCGCACCAUGAACAGUACAGAGUGCCGGAGAGCUGUUUGAUUGUCUUUGCUUUAACUCUCUUGGUCCUCAAGAGGGAAUUGGCAAUAAAACCUGCCUCAAGGCCCAGUAAAAGACUGCUUUACGUGACUGCAAAAUGUGCAAUAGCAGCACGAUUACUUGGGUUUAGCUUGAAUAUCCGAAAGUAAUUGAUGCAUGUUAGUCCUUGUAAUGAUAGGUUUUAAUUAGACCACCCCAUUUGUUAAAAACCCUGGUAAGGGUUUGAACUUUGAACUAAAGAAAAAAAAACUCGACCCAAGGGGAGAGAUAACCCGAAUGCAUUGCAUUGUAAGGUCGAGAACUUGGUUUGAGCUCUGUUUACUUUUACAUGAACUAGCCAAUCACAGUUGUCAAAUGUGGUUGAUCAUUUGUAAUGCAUAAAACAUACACUUAACUUUCUUUUCGUUUCACACCAUAUAUUUGUUGUUAUGCAGACAAUUUCUCAACUUUCUGCAUUAAGCAUACCAUCUUCAGCUGAGGCUGCUUCAAGCAUUAUUGGUGGCUCCUUGUACAUCCAGUUAUACAAUGUUUUGCAGACCAAUCUGCUUCAGAGGGUAAAUCCCCCACCCAUACAGCACUCACGACAGAAAAUGAGCUUGACAAACAAAACCUCCCAAGAAUGAAAAGUUUGCUCUGUUGAUGCUAGUCUUCCCCUCACUUGCAGGAACAGAUACUUCAUGCGAUGAAGCAGUUAUACAUUUCUGAUUCUAUUUCACCUGUUCGGAUGCAUUCGUUAAGUCGUUCCCCAUCUCCAUCAUCAGCUUUAUCGGUAGAUAGAUCCAUGGUAAGCUCAGGUUCUAGUUAAAGUGGCAGGAACUCUAUUAUGAAACUCAAAGCAAUGCCUGUGUUGGAAAAUGCCGAUGAAUACUGGACACCAUUAAGCCAUGACCAACUAGAAAACCAAAUUACUUUAUAUGUUCAACAUGUCUCAUUUUCCAUUCUUUCUAUUAAUGCUGAGAUAUAAAAUUCCAGCAGUGAUAAUUCCGGAAACACGACCUAAUUAAAAAUCAGUGUCAUGGAAUUUUGUGGGUAGCUAAAAUUAAUAUCUGCUGAACACUGCAAAGAUCCCACAAAGUCCUUGGGUCCUGGUGGGCUGGUACCUCUAAAUUUUAGCACCCAAAACAUAGAUGAUAGUUAUUCAAAUUACUAAGCUGCCAAUAUGAUGAACCGUGAAAGAAAGGCUCUGCUGACUUUAUUCAGUCACUCACUCUUGUUAUUAUGAUGGUAAAUGCCAAGAAUAGUAUAACCCGCUGACUACAUUUUCAGUUGGAAGCAGCACAAGAGAAGGAGAAGGAACUGGUCAAUGAAGUCCUGGAGCUACAAUGGCGGUAAUUAUCUCUUAUCUAAUCUGUCCAUAGUCUAAACCAAAAACAAGAAAAGAGCUCAGGAUUGAAAGUUUGGAGCACUGCAGGUUAUUGUGUGCACAGGAUGAGGUGCAGAGGCUCAAAGCAAAGGCAGCCCAGGUACCAACAUUUCACCCCACACGUGAUCUUGUAUCGGGGCAAAUUUUCCACAUGUUCACAUUGACAUUCUUCUAUUUGACAGAUUUGAUGAGUGAGUGUGGUUGGGGUUGUUGCUGAUUGAACUUCAAGCUGCGCAGUGAAGAUUAAGGACCGGUUAUCAUGUUAACAAAAGGAAUGUGUCAUUAUCGACUUUAAGUAGCUAUACUUCGGCAUGGGAGAGAAGAAAACAGCAACAUGAAGAUGAUAUACUUAGUAGGUUGCAAGCCUGCACAAAGGCAGCAGUGCUGGAGUUACUAUAUCUGUAUAUAAACAGUGAUGCUAUUUUUUUUUAGUGUUCAGUUACCAAAUUUUGUGCAUCCACACUGAGGAAUGGAUGACCGGGCCUCCUGUAGCCCCCUCAAAGAUAAAAUGAUAUGGCACUGAUUUUUUGUCGGAGCGCGCAUCAUGCCAUGCCAGGAGCAUAAAAUAUGGGGAAUACUACGUGUCGAUCCAUUUCAUUGCAGAGGGGAAUUACCACCUUGGGAUCUGGGAGUUCUCUUUUCUAUCCCCUAUCGGAAUUGCAUUGGUUCCUGUGUAAUCAUUGUGUUCUAAAUAGGCACUGAGUAUGAGUACUCUAUUCUACCAACUGAUGCAAGGAUAUCUUGGUGCAGCAGCAAGAUGUAGGAUUUGGUAUCCAUGAAAGAAUGCACUGGUGAAUCUGUCCGGAACUGCAUGUCAUCAUGAAUCCAACCCAAGCCAAUCACAUAAAACACGCUGGAACUCAUGUGUUACUAGUAAUUUUUGUGACACGAGCAAUAUAUGUUUACAUCUGUAAUUUACACCCACAACAUUAAGCUUUAAUCAACACCUAUCCUGUGCUAUACUAUGUCAAACUGGAUCACUCCGAUCCACUGCUAGGUCAGGCCUGUCUUCCUAUGGAUACACUCAUCUUGCACAUGAUACUUACAUCAGUCAGUGGAAGGAACGGGGUCGGCAGACCGACAAAGUCAGUCCACGUGGUGGUGUUCAUUCUGUUUCAAAGUAUAGCCGGUAUCCAGCAGGCUGAACUCGCGCUCCAAAACCCACGAAGAUUCGUUUGACUUGGUGGUGCUGAUCGUGUACUCGCGGAAGUAUCCAUCGUGAGUUACAACAUAGACUACAGUCCUGCAAAAAUUUAUGAUUGCUUAUGAAUACGAACUGGAAGGCAUAAAAUGGCAGCAUGCAUUUUGUGUGAAACUGCGUGUGAAUUUCUCACCUCACGGCCGGAAAUUUGGAAGAGUUUUGGGAGUAUUCUACACUAUGUACUGCUAGACAGCUGCAAUUCAGAAGGAUUAGAUUAGCAGGAAGAAUAGGGAAAGGGUCAGACAAAGCCAGAAGAUCUUAUAUGCACCUCUUGGUUUCUGCAGGGGCGAUGUUGUGAAUAACAUGAUGAUUAGCUGGAUCCAAAGCGUCGGAAAUUGCUUUGGAUCCAGGAAUUAUCGAACCGAGUAAUUUAUUCGUUUGGUUCCUGAGAAGUGAAGCACGUCAAAAUAUGUCCCGAAAAAAGUUGGUUCAGGAAUCACAAUAGCCAAGAAGGAAAUGUAACCUUCCAUUUCUGGCAGAGUCAAGAAAAAACAUGUGCAAAGAGCCUGACGAACUUGUGGCAGCAAGAACAUCAGGCCGAUCGAUGCACGGCCCAAAUGAGAGAGAGUAAAUCGUUGAUGGAUAUGCUCCCCGCCGAAAACUAUGCGACUGUUGAUGUAAGAAUUUAAAACGAUAUUAUUAGGCAGAAUGACAGAGUGCUUAUCAUGGUGGUAGAACAAAGAUCAAUAAUCUUACCUUAGUUGCUUGUGCCACGAUAUAUACCCUUAUCAUUGUGCCCUUCUCAGAAGCUGUUGCUAGGUACAUGCCAUUGGAAGAAAAUGCCAUUGCAGCUAAUGGCGACUCAUGGGCGUCUAUCUGUUGAUUGAUUACAAAGAGGAAAAACAUAUCAGUGAAAGACAUCUACAUAUCUUCAGAUUACUAGGGUUGAGAUUAAAGCCUCCAAAGUUGAAUGAAAACUGUAGGAAGACAAAUCCAGUCUAGAAAGUAUCCCUAUUCUGAUCUAUAUUCCAGAAAAAAAUAGGUUCCAAAAAAAAUUCACAUAUAUAUGAAUAAAUAAUGGUGCAUGCCACCAUAGUUGCACGCCAUUGCCUUUUCAGUGAUUCAAAAUAAUCAAUGAGAUCCAAAAUAACCAAUGAGUAGUUGGUUUUUACAGUGAUUCUCUCAAGAAAGAUCCAGAACUUGGAGAACUGUAAAUCCGUAAACGUAAUAAUGUUUACUCAGCUGUGCAAAUGAUACAGAAGGAACUAAACCUUCUGGGAAUUACCUGGCAUAUUAAUUCAGGUUCUGAUGCUUUAUACACUAAAGCAGAUCCUUUUGAUGUGCUUGCUGGGAUGGCCAAAUAACACCAUUCUGAAUUAGGAGCAAAUGCACAAAGGCCUGGGAUUUAAGGUUAACAACGUUAGCAGCAAAUAUGCGAAGCAAAUUUUGUUUCAAAGCAAAACUAGUUCAAAAGUACUUUCUGAUUUGCCCCCAGCCUCAGCUAUAUAAUAAUUGUCUGGAAUAGAAUGAGCCACAGUUUGAAAAUUUUGGGUAGGAUGCUUACCUUUAGGAUUAUGUACCGUGUCAAUUUCCUCCAAGAUACGAGUGCUGUUUAGAUCAUAAAUAAAGGUCUUGUCCUGCAAAACAACAAUAAGCCUGCACAUAAUGUGACAACCUUUUUUAUAAUAAAACUCAAUGAGAAAAAAACAUGCAUAACAACCCUGGUCCAAAACUCGGUAGUCAUACAAAAAUUACACAAGUAAAAAAUUAUGUCAUCACAGGAAGUCAGGAACUAAUGGAUAGAAGCAUCUUUUACAUUUUUUGCGAGGAAUAGAUAGAAGCAUAUGAUUAAGCGUCAUCAUCUCUGACAGCACUGUUAAUUAGAAUGGACCUGCUAGACUUCUCUUCUCAAAUUGCAGGAUAUAUAAAGAACAUAGUCAUCACUAAUGUACAACAGUCUUAAAUGUGCUCAGGCAAACUAGAGAUAGACCUAAUUAGUAACAGGUGAGUGAAACACUAGGGUACUCGGUCUCUUCUAGACAAGAAGGAUUGGUGGUGUACCUUGUUCUACUAAACCGAACAGCCAAAAUUGUACUCCUGAAGUUCAGAUCCUUCUUCGAGGCGCCUGUAAUGGUAUUGAACAGGCAAAGGCGGCGAGGGGACCGUGAAGGCUGCAAAAGGCAGUUUGGACCAACGACAUCAUCAUCCAUGUAAAACUCGAUUCGUCGAACCUCAACCGCACAACAGGGAACAAAUCGAUUCGUCGAACUUCAACCGCACAGCAGGGAACAAAUCGAACCGAAAACGAGGAAAAGAGCGCGUCAGAUACCUGUUCCCCAGUUCCGACCAUAGCGAUGAGGUUCGUAGCAAACCACAGCUCCACGACAUUCAGCCCUCCAAGUUCUGCAACCACGGAAGAGGCACAUACGGCUUGACGCCUUACUCCUUAUGAUAAAUUGCAUAGAGCGAUAUUUAUUCCCUACGAGGGUUUAAUCACUGAACAACGCGUUGACAGAAAGAUUUUGCAUUGCUAUCUGGUUCUACCCUCUACCAAUGCACAAUGAUUGUGUUCAGAACUAGUAUGAAUUAGGCAGGAAGCACAAAGCAACCUUGAUUGUUCAGCAUAAGCAUCUACGCAGAAGUAACCGAUUUUACACUAGGAGCUACACAAUCAACUUGUUGUAAGUACAAUUGGAUAUUCCGAGACUCGGAGUGAAGGACGGCUAUGAGGGGGGAAGCUCUUACUGUUGUCGUUGCAGAGCCUCCCGGUCCGGGCAUCGAAAAUCUUGAACCCUUCCUUGGUCCCGACGGAGAACAUGCUGAAACAAAGCACCGGGAAAACCCAGGGUCAGAAUCAGAGCUCCCCUCCGGCGAAUCCGACUCCCCCAGACCCGCCGGAAUCGAGCACGCGAGCGCAUACUCCGCCGCCCCGCUCCCGCACGUACCUGUUGUCCUGGUUGAAGGAGACGCAGAGAAUCUGGGGCCGGGACGAGCCGCUCGCCAUCGCCGCCGGCGCCGCCGCCUGCUCGCUCGCCGGAAUCGAUUCCUGUGGGGCGAAAGUUCGGAUUUUCCUUUUCUCCUCCGCGGCUGAAGGGGAGGUUCGGUUGCGCCGCCUGCGUGCGUGUCCGGGAAUAAAGUAGUGAAAAUAUUCGGCGGUGGGAUGGCUGGACGGACGGAUGCUUUACGUGUAGCUUCUUCCCCGUUUCGUAGCCCAGUUGGGCGCCCUAGCGUGCGCCGUGGACGGAUUAGAAGCUUCGGUUUAACGGUAAAACCAACGGAAGCCGUUUUGGCAACGGCCCGUACUCCUUUUUUUCUUGCGAUGUUCAGACUACUCGAGAAGGCAAAAUUUCGUGUUUUGACCCUUUGAUACAAAUUCAGGAUCAACCUCAAUUUAAAAAAAUUCGGGAUUUGACCCUUUUGCUACCGUCAGGGGGGCUGCCGGUAGGGUUAUACAGCCUACCGCCAGGCCCCUGGCGGUAGGGUGCGACGGAGGGGGACGGCCGCCGUCUCCGCGUGGGUUUUCGAGGUAAAAACCUUCUGUAACGAGAAAAUCGAGUGCUCUGGCGGUAGGGUCAACCUACCGCCAUAUGGGCUGGCGGUAGGCUAUCUGAUCCUACCACCAAGGUCGUUGGCGGUAGGGUCUUGCCUAUUUCUAAGUUCAAUUUCUUUCUUAUUUUCAAAAACAACAGAUCUCAAACUAUGAUAUAGAGUCAAAAUAACAAAUCUCAAACAAUUAAACUUGGGCAUCACAUACACAUGUCAUACGGAGUUUCACAUAAACUUAGUUCAAAUAGCAAACUUAGUUCCACAUAGCAACGGAGUUUCACAAAUAGCAAACACAUACUCCAUCCGUUCGGAAUUACUUGUCGCAGAAAUGGAUGUAUCUAGACGUAUUUUAGUUCUAGAUACAUCCAUUUCCGAGACAAAUAAUUCCGAACGGAGGGAGUAGUUCAGAUAGCAAACACAUAGUUUCACAACCACUAGACUUUUCAACUACAACCAAGUAUCGAAUAGCAGAAUUUAAGUCAUCCUUCCCCUCUUGCUCUUGGAGGCACGAUCCCCGUUCCUCUUUGAACGAGUCUCUUCAGUGUUCUUCUUGAACCGUCGAGGAACCGGUCUCUGGAAAGGGUUCGGACUUAGCAAAUCCUUCUUCAGAUUCCUUUUCGACAGCUGAGGUGCUUGAGAUGAUUGAGUUGUUGGAGGUCCAUAAUCUUCAUCCUACUCCUCCUCUUCGUUGCUCUCAUCCUCCUCAUCCCUUUCUUCAUGUGUGGCCUCCUCCUCCUCCUCCUCCUCAACAAACCUAGACGACGAGGGAGCAUGGCUCGAUGAGGCGAUGUGACCCUAUGUGGCUACAGGCUGAUGAACUUCAACUGACCCAGCUCCAGCACACCCAAGCAGCCCUACCAGCUUGCGACAACGCUUCACGAACUUCUGCACUCACAAUGAAACAAGGGCAUAAUAACUAUCAAGUUUAUGAUUGCAAGUGAAGAAGAUGCAUUUGUUCCGAGGAGGCUGAAAUUGUACCUUCAUCGUCCCCCUCAUUUUGUCCUCAGAUUGUACGCUCCCGGGGGCAUCACCUAGUGCAUCUGAGGCUUCAAAGAUGCAUCUGUUCAGUUCACCAGACUGCAACGGCAUAAGUCAGUCACGAUGACGAAUACAAUAAUUUAAAUAGAACCUCUCGAUUUAAACUUAUCACUUUGUUGAUGAGGGGUGCAAACUCCCUAAAUCCAUUGUGCAGGUCUCUGAUGCCGGUCUGGUAGGCCUCCUCCUCGGGGUCAUUGAGGGAGUCCUGGAUUAGGGGGUGUCCGGAUAGCCGGACUACCGUCAUCGGCCGAACUAUCAUCGGCCGGACUAUCAUCAUCGACCGGACUCCAAGACUAUGAAGAUACAAGAUUGAAGACUUCGUCCCGUGUCCGGAUGGGACUUUCCUUGGCGUGGAAGGCAAGCUUGGCGAUACGGAUAUGUAGAUCUCCUACCAUUGUAACCGACUUUAUGUAACCCUAGCCCUCUCCGGUGUCCAUAUAAACCGGAUGGCUCUAGUCCGUAGGACAACAAACAACCUCAACCAUUACAAUCAUACCAUAGGCUAGCUUCUAGGGUUUAGCCUCCUUGAUCUCGUGGUAGAUCCACUCUUGUAAACAUCCACAAUAUCAAUAUCAAUCAAGCAGGACGUAGGGUUUUACCUCCAUCAAGAGGGCCCGAACCUGGGUAAAACAUCGUGUCCCUUGUCUCCUGUUACCAUCCGCCUAGACACACAGUUCGGGACCCCCUACCCGAGAUCCGCCGGUUUUGACACCGACAUUGGUGCUUUCAUUGAGAGUUCCUCUGUGUCGUCACCGAUAGGCUUGAUGGCCUCUUCAAUCAACAACGACGCGGUCCUGGGUGAGACUUUUCUCCCCGGACAGAUCUUUGUAUUCGGCGGCUUCGCACUGCGGGCCAACUCACUUGGCCAUCUGGAGCAGAUCGAAAGCUACACCCCUGGCCGUCAGGUCAGGUUUGGAAGUCUAAACUUCACGGCCGAUAUCCGCGGGGACUUGAUCCUCGAUGGAUCCGAGCCGCAGCCAAGUGCGCCGCACUGUCACGAUGGGCACGACGUAACUCUGCCGCCGGACAGCGCUUUGGAGGCCGCACGCGAAUCCGCUCCGACCCAUAGUCCGGAGCCGAUCGUGCAGAUCGAGGACGGAUGGCUGGACACCGCCUCGGGAGCUGCAACCUCUACGGCGAUGGAGCCAAACACUGACCUUGUCCCGCAUAAAGCUCAUGACUCCGAGGUGCCGGACUCCCUACCGGACUCCGAACCUCCUGCGACCCUGCCAGUCGAAUCCGAUUGGGCGCCGAUCAUGGAAUUCACCGCUGCGGACAUCUUUUAGCACUCACCCUUCGGGGACAUCUUAAAUUCGCUGAAGCAUCUCUCGCUAUCCGGAGAGCCCUGGCCGGACUACGGCCAGGAUGGUUGGGACGCGGACGACGAAGAAAUUCAAAGCCCACCCACCACCCACUUCGUAGCCACCGUCGACGAUCUAACCGACGUACUCGACUACGACUCCGAAGACAUCGACAGUAUGGACGACGAUGCCGGAGACUAUCAAGAACCAGUGCCUACGGGACAUUGGAAGACCACCUCGUCAUACGACAUAUACAUGGUGGACACCCCAAAAGACGGGGAUGGCGAAGAAGCAGCGGAGGCCGAUUCCUUAAAGAAACAGCCCAAGCGCCGACGUCAGCGGCGCCGCUCUAAAUCCCGCCACAGCAAGAAUGGAGAUUCCAGCACAGGAGAUAAUAACACCCCAGAAAGUGCCGAAGAUAACCCCCUCCAGCAAGAUUCAGCGCAGGAGGAGGCAGAAGCAAGCCCUCAAGAGAGGGCGACAGACGAAGAGGUCGAGGAUGAUAAUUACAUACCUCCCUCCAGAGACGAGGCAAGCCUCGACGACGACGAAUUCAUCGUGCCUGAGGAUCCCGUCGAACAAGAGCGUUUCAGACGCAGGCUAAUGGCCGCAGCAAACAGUCUAAAGAAAAAGCAGCAACAGCUUCAAGCUAAUCAAGACCUGCUGGCCGACAGAUGGACCGAGGUCCUCGCGGCCGAAGAGUAUGAACUCGAACGCCCCUCCAAAAGCUACCCAAAACGCAAGUUGCUCCCCCGACUAGAGGAGGAAGCAUACAAACCGGCAGCACUAGCGCACAAUACGGCAGACCGACCACCUCGUGGCCGCGACAGAGAGGCAUGUAAGCCCUCCACCAAAACCGUAUCCCGGCACCGCUCAAAAAGCGCGAAGCCACGGGGGAACGCGCUGAACUUGCGGGACAUAUUGGAGGACAAGGCAAGACAAUCCAGAUCUAUCUAUGGAUCACGUGGGCGCCCCAAGACCCACGACGAAUACCGUCGCGCCGGAUACAACUACUCCGGCCGGGCCGAACACAGCAGACAACGCUCUCUUGAGCUACGUCGCGAUAUUGCUCAAUACAAAGGCGCCGCACACCCACUAUGCUUCACUGACGAAGUAAUGGAUCAUCAAAUCCCUGAAGGGUUUAAACCCGUUAACAUCGAGUCGUACGAUGGCACAACAGACCCCGCGGUUUGGAUUGAGGAUUAUCUCCUUCAUAUACAUAUGGCCCGCGGCGACGAUCUUCACGCCAUCAAAUAUCUCCCGCUCAAGCUUAAAGGACCAGCUCGGCAUUGGCUUAACAGCCUGCCCGUAGAGUCAAUUGGAUGCUGGGAAGACCUGGAAGCCGCAUUCCUCGACAACUUCCAGGGCACGUUGUGCGACCACCGGACGCAGAUGACCUAAGCCACAUAAUCCAGCAGCCAGAUGAAUCGGCCAGGCAAUUCUGGACACGGUUCUUAACAAAGAAAAAUCAAAUCGUCGACUGUCCGGAUGCGGAGGCCCUCGCUGCCUUCAAACAUAACAUCCACGACGAGUGGAUGGCCCGGCACCUAAGACAGGAGAAGCCGAAAUCCAUGGCAGCCCUCACAUCACUCAUGACCCGCUUCUGUGCGGGAGAGGAUAGCUGGCUAGCUCGCAGCAACAAUCUCAGCAAAAAUGCUGGCAGUCCGGAUACCAAGGACCGCAAUGGUAGGUCGCGUCAAAACAAAAACAAACGCCACAUUAACGGCGACAGCAAUGAGGAUACGACAGUCAAUGCCGGAUUCCGAGGCUCCAAACCCGGUCAACAGAAGAAGCCAUUUAAAAGAACCACUCCGGGCCCGUCCAAUUUGGACCGAAUACUCGACCGCUCUUGUCAAAUACAUGGAACCCCCGAAAGGCCAGCUAAACACACCAACAAACAUUGUUGGGUAUUCAAGCAGGCAGACAAAUUAAUUGCCGAAAACAAUGACAAGGGGCUACAUAGCGAUGACGAGGAAGAGACCCGGCCGCCGAACAACAGAGGACAGAAGGGAUUCCCCCCUCAAGUUCGGACGGUAAAUAUGAUAUACGCAACGCAUAUACCCAAGAGGGAGCGGAAGCAUGCACUAAGGGACGUAUACGCGAUGGAGCCAGUCGCCCCAAAAUUCAACCCAUGGUCCUCUUGCCCGAUCACUUUCCAUCGAAGAGACCAUCCGACCAGUAUCCGCCAUGGCGGAUUCGCCGCAUUGGUUUUAGACCCAAUCGUUGAUGGUUUUCACCUCACGAGAGUCCUGAUGGACGGCGGCAGUAACCUGAACCUGCUUUAUCAGGAUACAGUGUGCAAGAUGGGCAUAGACCCUUCAAGGAUUAAACCUACAAAGACGACCUUCAAAGGCGUCAUACCAGGUGUUGAGGCCAAUUGUACGGGCUCAGUCACACUGGAAGUGGUCUUCGGAUCCCCGGAUAAUUUCCGAAGCGAGGAGUUAAUCUUCGAUAUAGUCCCGUUCCGCAGUGGCUAUCACGCUCUGCUCGGACGAACUGCGUUCACAAAAUUCAACGCGGUGCCGCAUUAUGCAUACCUUAAGCUCAAGAUGCCAGGCCCUCGUGGAGUCAUCACGGUCAAUGGAAACACGGAACGCUCCCUCCGAACGAAGGAACAUACAGCGGCUCUCGCGGCAGAAGUACAGAGCAGCCUUUUAAGGCAAUUCUCGAGUCCGACCGUUACACGACCGGACACAGCCAAACGCGCCCGGAGCAACAUCAACCAAGACCACCUGGCACGUUCCGAGCACGCGUAGCAGUGCGGCCUCAACCCCAGCCCUCGCACAAUUGCAAGACAAACUCUCCGCGUACAUAAUUACGCCCUGGAGAUACCAUGGGCAUAGGGGGAGAGGCACGACCACAACAGACCCAGAGUGCGGUUCGACCACACCAGGGGCUCCCAAGUGUCUCACUCUUUUUAUCUUUUAUUUUUCUCUUCUUUAUAUAUACAGGACUCUGUCCGGCGGCGAACCUGCCGAACUCAUGAUGCAACAGCCAGGGAGGGACAAAGGCUGCGACGAACACUCAGGUGGUCUCCAUUACGAGCAUUAAAUUUGUUAAAUACACCAUUCUGCGGCCUACCCCUGGAGGGAGACGCCUUUAAUUCGUCCAAUCCCUUGCUUUCCGCACUAUUUGUAUCAUUCCGCACUCAUAGCAGACCUUCUUGAAUAAAAUGCAGCACUUUUUGCCCAUAACUGCAUUACUUUAUAUAUAUGUUCAUUUACGACAUGUUGCAUCCGUAUAUUUUGGUACGGCCAAAUACACCAGGGGCUUAUGUUCCCCGUAUUAUGGUGUGAUAAAGUCCGAACACUUUCACAAGUGCGGCACCCCGAACUUAUAGCAUUAUAUGAAUCGGCUCCGAAUCAUGUCUUGGGUCAAUAGUUGGGUUUGCCCGGCUCCCAUGUUUGGCACCUUACAUUCCGUUCUAUCGGCUAAGGUAGCACUGGGAGAACCACUGCGAUUGCGCCCCGGUUGAGCCGGGUUAACGCCUCAGUGGAGAAAGCUAAAACUGACUGUCAUGAUAAGGCGAGAGACUGGUCGCUGUUCGAGAGGUUUUUUCGGGUCCUUAAAGACCUACGCCGCUUCGAGCGAAGUUCCGGAUAAUAUCCGACGAAGGCGUGGAUAGCACCCCAAAUUCGGUCUUCCGAAUACUAGGGGCUUCGCCGAAAUUUAAAAUUAUAGAAUUCUAUGGCUAAGUGAGAGUGUUCAAGCACUAUAAGUCCGGUUGCCUUGUUCGUUGUGUUGAGCGCCUCCCUAGAUGGACCCAACAAUGGGAACAAGAGUGCUCAAGUUUAUCCCGAACACCCCAGCACUCGCGGCGUGGGGGAUGAAGCCGACGACUUGCCAUCUCUCAGAUUUAAUAAACGGCCGCACAGAAGGUAAUAUUUUAAAUUAAACAAGCAUUGCUUAGCGCAUAUGAACAAAGUUUUCAGCGCACAGGAUAAUACAUAGCGAGUUUACUCAAUAAUUACAUCUCGGGGGCACUCAUCCGCAAUCUUGCGGGCACCCUUCAGGACAGUCCUAUAGUACAUCUCGGGCGUACGAUAUUCCUUGCCCGCUGGUGGCGCGUCAGUGAUUAGCUUCUCCGCAUCCAGCUUGCCCCAAUGCACCUUUGCGCGGGCAAGGGCCCAACGAGCACCUUCAAUACAGGCGGAGCGCUUGAUGACCUCCACCCAGGGGCAUGCAUCCACCAGCCGCCGCACGAGGCCGAAGUAGCUCCCAGGCAUGGCCUCUCCAGGCCACAGCCGAACUAUGAGGCCCUUCAUGGCCUCCUCAGCUACCUUGUGGAGUUCGACCAGCUGCUUCAGCUGGUCGCUAGGGGGCACCGGAUGGCCGGCCUCAGCAUACUGAGACCAGAAGACCUUCUCCGUUGAGCUUCCCUCCUCACCACGGUAGAAUGCGGCGGCAUCGGAUACACUACGAGGCAAAUCUGCAAACGCCCCUGGAGAGCUCCGAAUUCGGGUAAGUGUCAGGUAGUUUACAUUAACAUGCUUGCUUUGCAUGAAAAAUGCCUUACCCGCCGCUAUUUUCUUCACAUCUUCCACCUCCUGAAGGGCCUUAUGGGCCUCGGCCUUGGCGGCUUUGGCACUUUCGAGAGCCGAGGCAAGCUCGGACUCUCGAGUCUUUGAGUCACGCUCCAAACUCUCAUGCUUUUCCAUGAGAGCCUAGAGCUCUUGCCGAACCGCCGCCACCUGCGCCUCCUGCUUUUCUCGCUCUGUCCGUUUCGCGGCCGCACUGCGUUCGGCCGCGGACACGGCCUCCUUCAGGGUUUCCACCUUGUUCGUGGCCCUUGCAGUACCCAUGUUAUCCUUGUUAUUCUUUUAUUGCAACCUAAAUCCUUUUCUGUAAGGUAACUAUUCAAAGUGGUGUUACUCACCUUCUUUGUCCUCGAGCUGCUUCUUGGCAUGGCCAAGCUCUUGCUCGGACCGCUCGAGAUCUUGCUUUAAUGCACCAACCUCCGCAGUCAGUGCGGCAGAGGUCAGCAGCGCAGCCUGCAACCCAUAUUGACAUAACUUUUUAGCAACCCUGCGUAUAUCUUUUUAGAUCCUCAGUCCGGCUUUUCUUUCCGAACACCGAACUGAGCAUCAGGGGCUACUGUCUAUGCAGUAUUACAUUGCAUAUUUUAACUUCUUACCUCAAAGCCUGAUAGAAGGCUACUGCAGGCUUCGGUCAGCCCGCUCUUGGCGAGCUGUACCUUCUGAAUCACCGCACUCAUAAUAGUGCGGUGUUCUUCCUCAACGGAAGCGCUCUGGAGUGCCUCCAACAAAUUGUCCGGCGCCUCCGGUUGGAAGGAAGCCACCGGCGUCACGGUCUUGCCCUUCUUGCGAAGGGGCCGCCGGCCGGACUCCGGAACCACUGCGGGUUCCGACGUGGAGUCCGGCGCAAAGUCCGGGAGGCCGCCUUGUGGCGCCUCCGGAGCCUCCCCCUGAUGGGUACCUUCUUGGGACCCCACCUCGGUGUCCUCAGUGGCGCGAGGGGUGGAGGCCGUCGGGAUGGAAUCCACAUCCAACGGAGCCAACGACCCGCUCGAUGAAGCGGGGAGAUCAUCAUCAGCCGGAUUGCAGGCAGUAUGCGGCAUUAGAAGGACGCUAUGUGACACAAAUUAUAAACCAUUCAGGAAUCCGGAUACUUACGAUCUCGCCGGAGGCCUGGCCCUUGAAGGCCAUUCUUCCUCGCCAACGUUGAUGUUGGCGGAGCUGUCCGGGGGAAUAGUCCUUCCCCUCUUGGACCCUUCGACCUCCCCUGUUGGGGAAGCCUUCCUCUUCCUCUCUCCCUCCUCUGGGAGAGAGUCCUCUUUCUCCUCCUCGUUUUCGGGGGAGGAGUCCGCCUCGGAGUCGUCGGACACCUGAAAACGGGAACUCUUUCAAGUACCCGUGGCGUCCUUCUUGGCCUUCUUCUCCGGCACCACGUGCGGUGCCGGAACCAGCAGCCUCGCUAGAUGGGCGUCUACUGGGUUUUCUGGCAUGGGAGCCGGGCAGAUGAGCUGCUCCGCCUUCUUCAUCCAGUCCUGUCAAAGGAAAAGGGGAAAUUAAAACCCGCAUAGAGUCAAACUAUGAAAAGCAAGUGUCCCGUAAGGGGUAGAAUCACUUACCUCGUCAGCUUGGCGCUGCGAGCGAAAUCCGCGGUCUUCGGUCGCGGAUGCGGGGGCUUCGGCGCCCUUAAACAGCACCCUCCAGGCGCCUUCGUACGUCGUGUCGAAGAGCCCGCUCAACGCUUGGUGCUGUUCCGGAUCGAACUCCCACAGAUUGAAUGCCCGCUCUUAGCAUGGGAGAAUCCGGCGGACGAGCAGGACUUGGACCACAUUAACCAGCCUGAGCUUCUUCACCAGCUUCUGGAUACAGGCUUGGAGUCCCGUCACCUCCUCCGAACUACCCCACAGCAAGCCCUUCUUUUUCCAGGAGGUGAGCUGCGUGGGGAUACCAGAUCUGAACUCGGGGGCCGCCGCCCACGUAGGGUCGCGCGGCUCGGUGAUAUAGAACCACCCCGAUUGCCAUCCCUUGACGGAUUCCACGAAGGCCCCUUCGAACCAAAGGACGUUGGGCAUCUUGCGCAACAUGGCGCCUCCGCACUCCGCUUGAGUGCCCUUCACUACCUUCGGCUUGACAUUGAAGGUCUUGAGCCACAAGCCGAAGUGGGGCUGGAUGCGGAGGAAGGCCUCGCACACGACGAUAAACGCCGAGAUGUUGAGGAUGAAGUUCGGCGCCAGAUCAUGGAAAUCCAGGCCGUAGUAGAACAUGAGCCCCCGGACAAAGGGAUGCAAUGGGAAGCCCAGUCCGCGGAGGAAGUGGGGAAGAAAUACUACCCUCUCAUGGGGCCUGGGGGUGGGGAUGAGCUGCCCGUCGUCGGGCAGCCGGUGCGCGAUAUCGCCGGACAGAUAGCCGGCGCUGCGCAGUCUUUCGAUGUGCUCCUCCGUAACGGAGGAGGUCAUCCACUUGCCUCCCGCUCCGGACAUGGUCGGAGAAGGUUGAGACGAGAUGCGCGAACUUGGGCGCUGGAGCUCGAGUGCGCGGAGAUGGAUAAGCAAAGGAGGAUGAAGGCGUAGGUGAAAAGGUGAAUCCUUAUCCCUUAUAUAGGCGGACGAAUGUGUCCCCCACCAGCCUGGUAAAACUCGCUUAUCUCCCAAGCGCCACCAUCAAUGGCGCGGUUGGGUUACCCACGUCCGUAUUGAUGAGAAUCCCGGAUUAAGGGGGAACAUGAUCUCUGCUUCGACAAGACGUGCCAAGGAAACCGCUUCGCUAAAUGCGCUGAGGUGGUAAAAUAAAAAACGAUUCAAGUAAUGGCUUGGCAGUGGUGGGAUGUCAUGCCGCGAAAAACGUCAGCAGAUUGAACUUGUGUAUAUAUUAUUCUCUCUACGGUGGAAUGUGGAAUUUAUUUUGCAGAGCCGGACACUAUCCUGGUGUUCACAAUCUUCUAUGAAUUAUUCAGAGGAGGAACCCGCCUUGCAAUGCCGAACAAUAUGCGCGCCGGACUCAUCGUCAUUGAAGCCUGGUUCAGGGGCUACUGAGGGAGUCCUGGAUUAGGGGGUGUCCGGAUAGCCGGACUACCGUCAUUGGCCGAACUAUCAUCGGCCGGACUAUCAUCAUCGACCGGACUCUAAGACUAUGAAGAUACAAGAUUGAAGACUUCGUCCCGUGUCCGGAUGGGACUUUCCUUGGCAUGGAAGGCAAGCUUGGCGAUACGGAUAUGUAGAUCUCCUACCAUUGUAACCGACUCUAUGUAACCCUAGCCCUCUCCGAUGUCUAUAUAAACCGGAUGGCUCUAGUCCGUAGGACAACAAACAACCUCAACCAUUACAAUCAUACCAUAGGCUAGCUUCUAGGGUUUAGCCUCCUUGAUCUCGUGGUAGAUCCACUCUUGUAAACAUCCACAAUAUCAAUAUCAAUCAAGCAGGACGUAGGGUUUUACCUCCAUCAAGAGGGCCCGAACCUGGGUAAAACAUCGUGUCCCUUGUCUCCUGUUACCAUCCGCCUAGACACACAGUUCGGGAACCCCUACCCGAGAUCCGCCGGUUUUGACACCGACAGUCAUCCCUCUCCAGCUCCACGAUUUAUUUCGCUGUCCACCGAGGCCUGAGACGAAGACGGUGCUUCUGGCCAUCAUCGUACCACUUCAUGUGUCGCUCCACGUAAGCAUUCCAGUCAGUCACUCUCCUCUCCCCGUCUUUCUUGUACCUCCGUCAGUUCCACUCCGUCACAUGAGUUUUAUGAUGCUCUCCCCAGUCUGUGAUCGACCGAUUCUUCUGUCGGCUCAUCCUGCAAGGCAUUAGCAAUAAGAAACAUCAAACAAAGUCGAACGCAAUGAAUUCAUGGAUGGGCACGAAGAACAAGCGCGUGCACUCACAAGUGGAGCGCAUGGCCGCCGGUAUCGGUGGGCUGGCCCGGUGGGGUAUGCUGAUACAUCCCAAACUGCGUGGCCACGCGGUGUGGCAAGUGCCACUCGACGGCGUACACAUAGAUCAUGGGCAUGAUGCACCAUCAGAGACCACGGUCCUCAUCGCACAUCACAUUCAGAUCAAAGUCCCACUCUCGAUCAUGAUACGGCCACCAAUUUACCUAUUACAUAUACGGUGGUAAGUUGACACUCUCGGUCAAAAGUGGAAUCAAAGAGAAAUGUGUUUAGCGAGUUCAUAUACCUGCCAAUGCAUCAAAGCGUCCAACUCGUUGGUGUAGGUCUUGUACGAAGUCUUGUUUAGGCCCGUGUAGAGUUUGACAACGUCCCACUCGUAACCACCAUGGGGUGUCGAGCCUCGUCGCCGUCUUUGCUAUAGGCACCCCAUGGGCGUCUUGGCAGCUUUUCAGGAUGCCCCGAACUGUGCGUCUAGGUGGAUGGUAACAGGAGACAAGGGACACGAUGUUUUUACCCAGGUUUGGGCCCUCUCGAUGGAGGUAAAACCCUACUCCUGCUUGAUUAGUAUUGAUGAUAUGGGUAGUACAAGAGUAGAUCUACCACGAGAUCAGAGAGGCUAAACCCUAGAAGCUAGCCUAUGGUAUGAUUGUUGCUCGUCCUAUGGACUAAAACCCCCUGGUUUAUAUAGACACCGGAGAGGGCUAGGGUUACACAAAGUCGGUUACAAUGGGAGGAGAUCUACAUAUCCGUAUCGCCAAGCUUGCCUUCCACGCCAAGGAAUGUCCCAUCCGGACACGGGAUGAAGUCUUCAAUCUUGUAUCUUCAUAGUCCAGGAGUCCGGCCAAUGGUCAUAAUCCGGUCAUCCGGACACCCCCUAAUCCGGGACUCCCUCAGUAGCCCCUGAACCAGGCUUCAAUGACGACGAGUCCGGCGCGCAUAUUGUCUUCGGCAUUGCAAGGCGGGUUCCUCCUCCGAAUACUUCAUAGAAGAUUUUGAACACAAGGAUAGUGUCCGGCUCUGCAAAAUAAGUUCCACAUACCACCGUAGAGAGAAUAAUAUUUACACAAAUUCAAUCUACUGACGUAUUCCGUGGCGUGACAUCACACCACGGCCAAGCCUUUAUUCGAAUCGUUUUUACUGUCCCACCUCAGUGCGUUUAGCGAGGCGGUUUCCUUGGCACGUCUUGUCAAAGCAGAGAUUGUGUCCCCUUAUUCCGGGAUUCUCAUCAAUACGGGCGUGGGUAACCAACCGCGCCAUUGAUUACGAUGCUUGGGAGAUAAGCGAGUUUUACCAGGCUGGUGGGGACGCAUAGCUUCAUCCGCCCAUAUAAGGGGAUAAGGAUCCACCUUUUUACCUAUGCCUUCUUCCUCCUUUGCUCAUCCAUUUCCGCACACUCAAGCUCCAGCGCCCAAGUCCGCACAUCCCACCUCAAUCUUCUCCAGCCAUGUCCGGAGCGGGAGGCAAGUGGAUGGCCUCCUCCGUCACGGAGGGGCACAUCAAAAAGCUGCGGAAGGCCGGAUACUUGUCCAACGACAUCGUGCAUCGGCUCCCCGACAAGGGGCAGCUCAUCCCCACCCCCAGGCCCCAUGAAAGGGUGGUGUUCCUCACCCACUUCCUCCGCGGACUAGGUUUUCCACUUCACCCAUUUUUCCGGGGGCUCAUGUUCUACUACGGCCUGGAUUUCCACGAUCUGGCCCCGAAUUUCAUCCUCAACAUCUCGGCAUUCAUCGUCGUGUGUGAGGCCUUCCUCUGCAUCCAGCCCCACUCCGGCUUAUGGCUGAAGACCUUCAAUGUCAAGCCGAAGGUAGUGGGCGGCCGCCAAGCGGAGUGCGGAGGUGCCAUGGUGGGCAAGAUGGCCAACGUCCUAUGGCUCAAGGGCUCCUUCAUGGAGACCAUAAAGGGGUGGCAAUUGGGGUGGUUGUACAUCACCGAGCCGCGCGAUCCUAAAUGGGCAGCGACCCCCGAAUUCCGAUCUGGCUUCCCUACACGGCUCACCUCCUGGAAAGAGAUGGGCUUGACGUGGGGUAAUUCGGAAGAGCUGACCGGACUUCAAACCUGCAUCCAAACCCUGGUGAACAAGAAGCUCAAGCUUGUCAACGUAGUCCAGGUCAUGCUCAUCCGCCGGAUCCUCCCGUGCCAACAACGGGCCUUCAACUUGUGGGAGUUUGAUCCGGCAUAGCACCAAACCUUGAGCAGGCUCUUCGACACUACGCAUGAAGAUGCCUGGAAGGUGCUGUUCAAGGGCGCCGAGGCUCCUGCAUCCGCUACCAAAGAUCGCGGAUUCAGCUCGCAGCGUCAAGCCAGCGAGGUAAGCUACUUUACCCUUUACGGGACUCUUGUUUUCCAUAGUUUGACUCUAUGCGGGAUCUAAACUCCCUUGCCUUUGACAGGACUGGCAGAAGACGUCCGGGCAGAUUGACUGUCCGGCUCCCUUGCCAGAAGACCCAGCAGACGCCCGAUUAACGGGGCUGCUGGUUCCGGCACCUCACGUGGUGCCGGAGAAGAAGGCCAAGAAGAAGGCCACGGGAACUCGAAGGAGUUCCCAUCGCCAGGUGUUGUCGGACUCAUCAUCUGAUGACUCCGAGGCGGACUCCUCCCGUGAAGACGAGGAGGAGGGAAAAGAGGCCUCUCCCCCAGCGGGGGGAGAGAAGAAAAGGAAGGCCGCCCCAACUGGGGAGGCCGGAGGGUCCAAGAAGGGAAGGACCCUCCCUCCGGACUACUCCACCAACGCCGACGACGGCGAGGAGGAGUGGCCACCGAGGGCUAAGCCCCUGGUGAAAUCGUAAGUGUCCGGAUACCAGAAUAACUCAUGGCGUUUCAUUUGCCGCACAGAAUCUCUUAACGCCGAAUAUAACCCUACAGCCCGCCCAAAGACGGGCUCGAUGCUUCGACGAGCGGCUCCCUGGAUUCGUCGGACGUGAAUAGCACCUCGCUUCCGGCUGCCUCCUCUCCUCGCGCUGCGGAUGACACCGAGGUGGGGUCCCAAAAGGGGCCCAACCAGGAGGAGGUGGUCCAGGAGGCGCCGCAAGGCAACCUCCUGGACUCCAGGCGCAAGGGGGAUAAAACCCCAAAGGGCUCUAAGUCCGGCCCUGGGCCGGACUCCACACCGGAACCUUCAAUGGUUCCGGAGUCUGACAGGCAGCCCCUUCAUAAGAAGGGCAAGACUGCGACAUCGGUGACCUCCGUCCAACCAGAGGCACCGGAUAAUUUGCUGGAGGCGCUUAACGGCGCCUCCAUCGACGAGGAGCACCGCACUGUUAUGAGUGUGGUGAUCCAGAAAGUUUAGUCCGCCAAAAGUGGGCUGACUGAAGCCUGUGCUAGCCUUCUAACAGGCUUUGAGGUAAAUAUUUAAGAUAUCUAAAAAUGUUACCACAUAGACAGUAGCCCCUGAUGCUCAGUUUGGUGUUCGGAAAGAAAAGCUGAACUGAGGAUCUAAAAGAUGUACGCAGGAGUCUAACAUAGGUAUGUUAAUAUGGGAAUGCAGGCUGCGCUGCUGACCUAUGCCACACUGACUGCGGAGGUCAAUGCAUUGAAGCAGAGCCUCAAGCGGUCCGAGAACGAGCUCAGCCUUGCCAAAAAGCAGCUCGAGGACAGGGAAGGUAAGUAAUACCUUAUGGAAGUAUAUAAAAGAUGUGGUUGCCAAAAAUGACAGGAAUAACGUGAGUAUUGCAGGGGCCACGAACGAGGUGGCGACCCUGAAGGAAGCGGUGUCCAAGGCCGAAAGCAAUGCGGCCGCGGAGCGCACCGAGCGAGAGAAGCAGGAGGCGCGGGUGGCGGAGGUGCGGCAAGAGCUCCAGGCUCUUGUGGAAAAACACGAGAGUUUGGAGCGUGACUCAAAUACUCGAGAGUCCGAGCUCGCCUCGGCCCUUGAGAGCACCAAGGCCGCUAAGGCCGAAGCCCAAAAAGCCCUCCAGGAAAUUGAGGCAUUGAAGAAGAUAGCGGCGGGUAAGGCAUUCUUUAUGCAAAGCAAGCACGUGAAAGUGAAUUAUCUGUUACUUACCUGAAUCCAGAGAUCUCCAGGAGCAUUCACAGAUCUGCCCCGCAGUGUGUCCAAUGCUACCGCGUUCUACCGAGCCGAGGAGGGGAGUUCGACGGAGAAGGUGUUCUGGUCUCACUAUGCUGAGGCCGGUCACCCGGUGCCCUUGAGCGACCAGCUGAAGCAGCUGGUCGAGCUCCAUAAGGUGGCCGAACAGGCCAUGAAGGGCCUCAUAGUUCGGCUAUGGCUUAAGGAAGCCAUGCCUGGGAGCUACUUCGGGCUGGUGAGGCGGCUGGUGGACGCCUGUCCAUGGAUUGAAGUCGUCAAGCGCUCCGUCUGCAUCGCAGGUGCCCGUAGGGCCCUUGCCCGUGCUAAAGUGCACUGGGGCAAGAUGGACGCUGAGAAGCUUGUGACGGACAGACCACCGCUGGGCAAGGAGUAGGCGUCCUAAAGGGUGCCCGCUUUAUAGCGGGUGAAUGUUCCAAAGAUGUAAUUUUUGAGUAAACUCGCAUUUGUUAUCCUGUACGCUGAAAACUUGUUCAUAUGCGCUAAGCAACGCUUGUGAAUUUAAAAUAUUACCUUCUGUGUGGCCGUUUAUUAAAUUUGAGAGAUGGCGAGUCAUCGGCUGCUGCCCCCAUGCCACGAGUGCUGGGGUGUUCGGGAUAAACUUGAGCGCUCUUUUUCCCAUUCUUGGGUCCUUCGAGGGAGGCGCUCAAUGCAAUGAACGAGGCAACCGGACUAUAAUGCUUGAACACUCUCACUUAGCCAUAGAAUUCUAUAAUUUUAAAUUUCGGCGAAGCCCCUGGUAUUCGGAAGACCGAGUUUGGGGCGCUAUCCACGCCUGGGCCAGACAAAGCUGACUCCUCGCUCUAAGCGGCAUAAGUCUUUAGGGACUCGAAAACCUCUCGAACAGCGACCGGCUCUCGCCCUAUCAUGACGGUCAGUUUUAGCUUUCUCCACUGAGGUGCUUAACUCAGCUCAACCGGGGCACAAUCGCAGUGGUUCUAAGGUACCAAAACAUGGGAGCCGGGCAAACCCAACUAUUGACCCAAGACAUGAUUCGGAGCCGAUGCAUAUAAUGCUAUAAGUUCGGGGUGCCGAACUUGUGAAAGUGUUUGGACUUAUCACACCAUAUUUUGGGGUACUUAAGCCCCUGGUGUAUUUGGCCGUACCAAAGUGUACGGGUGCAACAUGUCAUAUGUGAACAUAUAUAGAUAAAAAAAUGCAAUAAUAGGCAAAAAGCUAUGUAUUGUUUAUUUAAAAAGGCUGCGAUAAAAGCAGAAUGAUACAAAUAGUGCGAUAAGCAAUGGACGGGACUAUUUGACAUGUCCCCCUCUAGGGGCGAGCUGCGGGAUGAUAUGUGAAACAAGUAUACUGCUCGUUAUAGAGACCAUCUGGACACUCGACGUAGCUUUCUGCUUCCCUGGCUGUUGCAUCGUGUGUUCGGCGAUUCUACGGCCAGACAGAGCUUCUUGAGAAAGGAGUCCUGAAAGUAAGAGAAAAAGGAAUGACACAAUCGGCAGCCCCUGGUGCGGUUGAGCCGCAUUCUGGGCCUUCCAUGGUCGUGCCCCUCCCCCUAUGCCCAUAGUAUUUCUAGAGCGUAAUUAUGUACGCGUAGUACUGGUUUCGCAAUUUCGCGAGGGCUGGGGUUGGGGCCGCAUUGCUACGCGUGCUCGGGACGUGCCAGGCGGUCUUGUUGUAGGUUACUCCGGGCGCGCUUGACGGUGUCCGGACGUUUAAUAGCCGGACUCGAGGAUUGCCUUGAGAGGCUGCUUUGUACUUCCGCCGCGAGGGCCGCCGUAUGCUCCUCCGUUCGGAGAGAGCGUUCGGUGUUUCCGUUGACCGUAAUGACUCCUCGAGGGCCUGGCAUCUUGAGCUUGAGGUAUGCGUAGUGCGGCACCGCAUUGAACUUUGCAAAUGCGGUUCGUCCGAGCAGUGCGUGAUAGCCGCUGCGGAACGGGACUAUGUCGAAGAUUAACUCCUUGCUUCGGAAGUUAUCCGGGGAUCCGAAGACCACUUCAAGUGUAACUGAGCCUGUACAGUUGGCCUCUACACCUGGUAUGACGCCUUUAAAGGUCGUCUUUGUGGGUUUAAUCCUUGAGGGGUCUAUGCCCAUUUUGUGCACUGUAUCCUGAUAAAGCAGGUUCAGGCUGCUGCCGCCGUCCAUCAGGACUCUAGUGAGGUGAAAUCCAUCAACGAUUGGGUCUAGAACCAAUGCAGCGAAUCCGCCAUGGCAGAUGCUAGUGGGGUAGUCCCUUCGAUCAAAAGUGAUCGGGCAGGAGGACCACGGAUUGAACUUUGGGGUGACUGGCUCCAUCGCAUAUACGUCCCUUAGUGCACGCUUCCGCUCCCUUUUGGGUAUGUGGGUUGCGUAUAUCAUGUUCACCGUCCGCACUUGUAGGGGGAAGCCCUUUUGUCCUCUAUUGUUCGGUGGCCGGGGCUCCUCCUCGUCGUUGCUAUGCAGCCCCUUGUCAUUGUUUUCGGUAUUUAACUUGCCUGCCUGCUUGAACACCCAACAAUCCCUGUUGGUGUGGUUGGCUGGUUUUUCGGGGGUGCCAUGUAUCUGGCACGAGCGAUCGAGUAUUCGGUCCAAAUUGGACGGGUUCGGAGUAUUUCUUUUGAAUGGUUUUUUCCGCUGACCGGGUUUAGAGCCUCUGAAUCCGGCAUUGACUGCUGUAUCCUCAGCAUUAUCGCCGUUAAUGCGGCGCUUGUGCUUGUUGCGACGCGACCUGCCGUUGCUGUCCUUGGUAUCCGAAUUACCAGGGCUCUUGGUCAUGUUGUUACUACGAGCUAGCCAGCUGUCCUCUCCCGCGCAAAAGCGGGUCAUGAGUGUUGUGAGGGCUGCCAUGGAUUUUGGCUUUUCCUGUCCUAGGUGCCGGGCAAGCCACUCAUCGCGGAUGUUAUGUUUGAAGGCUGCAAGGGCCUCUGCAUCCGGACAGUCAACGAUUUGAUUUUUCUUGGUUAGGAACCGUGUCCAGAAUUGUCUGGCCGAUUCCUCUGGCUGCUGAAUUAUGUGGCUUAGGUCAUCGGCGUCUGGUGGUUGCACAUAGGUGCCCUGGAAGUUGUCAAAGAAUGCGGCUUCCAAGUCUUCCCAACAACCAAUUGACUCCGCUGGCAAGCUGUUAAGCCAAUGCCGAGAUGAUCCUUUAAGCUUGAGUGGGAGGUAUUUGAUGGCGUGUAGAUCAUCACCGCGGGCCAUGUGGAUAUGAAGGAGGUAGUCCUCGAUCCAUACUGCAGGAUCUGUUGUGCCAUCGUAUGAUUCGAUGUUUACGGGUUUGAAACCCUCGGGGAUUUGAUGAUCCAUUACUUCAUCUGUGAAGCAUAGUGGGUGUGCGGCGCCCCUGUACUGGGCUAUAUCACGACAUAGCUCAAAUGAGCUUUGUCUGCUGUGUUCGGCUCGGCCGGAUUUGCUGUAUCCGGCAUUGACGGUUAUCGUCACAUGUAGUGAGGCGCCCAUGCGAUCCGUAGAUCUAUCUUGUUUGCCUUGCCUUGUCCUCCAAUAUAUCUCACAGGUCUGGUGCAUUUCCCCGUGCCUUGGUACUUUUUGAGCGACGCCGGGGUGCGGCUUGAGUGGAGGGCCGAGAGGCCUCUCUGUCGCGGCCACGAGGUGGAUGGUCAGCCGCAUCAUGCGCUGGUGAUGUAGGUUUGGGUGCUUCCUCCUCUAAUCGGGGUAGCAGCCUGCAUUUUGGGUUGCUCUUGGAGGGGCGUUCGAGUUCAUACUCUUCGGCCGCAAGGACUUCAGUCCAUCUGUCAGCUAGCAAGUCUUGGUCAGCUCUAAGCUGUUGCUGCUUUUUCUUGAGGCUGCUUGCCGUGGCCAUAAGCCUGCAUUUGAAACGCUCCUGUUCGACGGGAUCCUCAGGCACGACAAAUUCGUCGUCGUCGAGGCUUGCCUCGUCUUCGGAGGGAGGCAUGUAAUUAUCAUCCUCUACCUCUCUGUCUGCCGCUCUCUCAUGAGGGCUGGCUUCUCCAUCCUCCUGCGCUGAAUCCUGCUGGAGGGGGUUGUCUUCGGCACUUUCUGGGGUGUUAUUGUCUCCCGUGCUGGAAUCACCGUUUUUGUUGUGGCGGGAUUUUAGAGCGGCGCCGCUGACGCCGGUGCUUAGGCUGUUUCUUGGAGGGGUCAUCCUCCGUUGUUCCAUCGCCAUUCCCAUCUUUUGGGAUGUCCACCAUGUAUAUGUCGUAUGAUGAGGUGGCCUUCCAGUGCCCUGUAGGCACUGGUUCUUGGUCGUCUCCUGCAUCGUCGUCCAUACCGUCGAUGUCUUCGGAGUCGAAGUCGAGCAUGUCGGUUAAAUUAUCGACAGUGGCUACGAAGUGGGUGGUGGGUGGGCUUUGAAUUUCUUCGUCGUCCGCAUCCCAACCUUCCUGACCAUAAUCCGGCCAGGGCUCUCCUGAUAAAGAGAGAGACUUUAGCGAAUUCAGGAUGUCGCCAAAGGGCGAGUGCUGAAAGAUGUCCACGGCAGUGAACUCCAUGAUCGGCGCCCAAUCGGAUUCGAUUGGCAGGGGCGCGGAAGGUUCGGAGUCUGGAGAGGAGUCCGGCACCUUGGAGUCACAAGCUUCGCAAAGGACAGGGUUGGUGUUCGGCUCAAUCGCCAUAGAGAUAGUAGCCCCCGAGGCGGUGUCCAGCCACCCGUCCUCGAUCGGCGCAGUCGGCUCCGAGCUAAGGGUCGGAGCGGACACUUGUGCGGCCUCCAGGGCACUGUCUGGCGGCAGAGCUAGAUCAUGCCCAUCGUGACAGUGCGGCGCGCUUGGCUGUGGCUCGAACCUGCCGAAGAUCAAGUCUCUGCGGAUGUCAGUUGUAUAGUUCAAACUUCCAAAUCUGACCUGAUGGCCAGGGGCGUAGCUUUCAAUCUGCUCCAGAUGGCCAAGCAAAUUGGCCCGCAGUGCAAAGCCGCCGAAUACGAAGAUCUGUCCGGGGAGAAAAGUCUCACCCUGGUCCGCAUCGUUGUUGAUGAUCGAAGGAGCCAUCGGACCUAAAGAUGACGACACAUAGGAACUCUCAAUGAAAGCACCAAUGUUGGUGUCAAAACCGGCGGAUCUCGGGUAGGGGGUCCCGAACUGUGCGUCUAGGCGGAUGGUAACAGGAGACAAGGGACACGAUGUUUUUACCCAGGUUCGGGCCCUCUCGAUGGAGAUAAAACCCUACUCCUGCUUGAUUAAUAUUGAUGAUAUGGGUAGUACAAGAUUAGAUCUACCACGAGAUCAGAGAGGCUAAACCCUAGAAGCUAGCCUAUGGUAUGAUUGUUGUUCGCCCUAUGGACUAAAACCUCCUGGUUUAUAUAGACACCGGAGAGGGCUAGGGUUACGCAGAGUCGAUUACAAUGGGAGGAGACCUACAUAUCCGUAUCGCCAAGCUUGCCUUCCACGCCAAGGAAUGUCCCAUCCGGACAUGGGACGAAGUCUUCAAUAUUGUAUCUUCAUAGUCCAGGAGUCCGGCCAAAGGUCAUAGUCCGGUCAUCCGGACACCCCCUAUUCCGGGACUCCCUCAGUCUUGUACGAAGUCUUGUUUAGGCCCGUGUAGAGUUUGACAACGUCCCACUCGUAACCACCGUGGGGUGUCGAGGCUCGUCGCCAUCUUUGCUAUAGGCACCCCAUGGGCGUCUUGGCAGCUUUUCAGGAUGCCCCACCGGCAGCCACUCCCACAUCCAAAUGGAGAAGGCCCAGACAAAGCCACCCAUAUUGAGCUUGUCUCCCGUCCUCUGUGUUGCGUCGUCAAGCUGAAAAAAAAUCAAAUGAGGAUCAAAUAUAACAAAAUAUCAUGGACAUACUUUGGGAGUUCCCCAACUGUACAGGUAUAGGUAGGCAAGAGAUGCGGUCCCCCAACUAUACCCUGCAUCCCAGUCGGCUAGGAAGAACAGAUACGACCAGUUGGCAGAGUUCCCAGAUGCGUUUGGAAACACGACCUCCGUGAGAAGAUACCACAGGUAGGCCCUCGUGUACCACUCCACAGUCGUCUCAUCGGCGUCUUCGGGGCAUGUCUUCCGGUGCUCCGAGAGCCAGGACAACAGCACAUCAGAUGUACGGUUACCCUUAGCCUCGGGGCAGCCGCUGAUGAGGGUGGUACCCUCUCCUACUAGUUGGUCCUCUCCACUCACCCGGUCAAUGCAUGACCCUCGAGCGGCAUGGCAGUAAUCAUUGACCAAUCCUCGAGGGUCACCGUCAUCUCCCCGCAUGGGAGAUGGAAAGAAUGGGUCUCCGGUCGCCACCGGUCAAUCAGAGCUAUCAGAGCUGCGUGGACAAGCGUCGGCGACUGACGCUUGAACUGCAACACGAAACCCAACAACUGGGCUCUCUUGAAGAACGGCACGUAGCGCUCAUCGUAGUCCAUAUUCCCAUGAACCCCGUGACCCCUCAUGCGCACUGGCUGGAGCAUAUGCCAAAAAGUGAACGCCAAAAGUUAGGAAAUUAUUUUCAUCAAUUAGAAAACUUUGAUCAAUAUUUCAUUCAUAUUACUUACCUCUUCGUUCUCUAUGAAACAUGCACGAUGACCCUUGUCGAAUGCGUAGUCAAGCAUGCAGUACCGUGGGCCGAUGUUGUCCGCAAGAGGUGGCCGCCUUAAUAAAAUUUCAUAAACAAAAACAUCAUAAGCAUAAGCAUACAUAAACAUGCAUCAUAUCAAAAUCAUAUCACCAUGCAUCAUAUCACAAAAAAAAUUCAAAUCAUAUCACCAUGCAUCAUAUCACCAUGCAUCAAUAUCACCAUGAUGGAUCAAAUCAUAUCAACAUCACUCAUAUAAAAAAAAAUCCUCCAACAUGCAUCAUAUCAACAUGCAUCAUAUCACAAAAAAAUCCUCCAACAAUCAUCUUCAAUGUAUUAUCUCCAAACAACAUCUUCAUAUCAUCAUAUCAAAUGCAUCAUCACUCCAACAUGCAUCAUAUCAUCAUAUUUUUAAACAAAAAAAUCCUCCAACAUGCAUCAUAUCAUCAUAUUUGUAAACAAAAAAAAUCCUCCAACAUCUUCAUAUCAUCAUAUCAAUAUGCUUCAUCAAACUACAAUCAAUUCCUCAAAAAAAUUAUGAACUAGGGUUCAUCUUCACACUAACAUAUGAACUAUUGAUUAGAGUUAAUAUUCAUUACCACUACUUAGUAAAGAACUAAGAACUAGAACUACAAUCAAGCUAAAACAAUCUUAGGUGAAAAAAAAAUCCAAUCUAAUUUCAAAAAAAUGAGGGAUUUCGAGCAAAUAAUGCGUCGAAUCGGAAGCAAGUUUGCAAAAACUAAUUGGAGGGAUCGGAUGAGCUUACGAUUCUCUCUUCGGGGCCAUCUCAAUCCACCAAAACAGUGAAGAAUCGGUGAAAAUCCGAGGGGAAGAGUGGAGGAGAUGAGAGAGGGAGAGAGGGGCGACUUGGGGGAGAAAAUGGAAACUGCCGACGGGGGAGGGGGGGGAGGGGGAGGGGUGGGGAGAUGGGCAGGGGCGCCGGGGUCUCGGGGGAAAUAACUGCCCGGACCCUACCGCUAGGGGCUUUGGCGGUAGGGUUAUAUAGCCUACCACCAGGUCCCCUAGCGGUAGGGUGCGACGGAGGGGGACGGCGGCCGUUUUCGCGAGCUGACGUGGACUAGUACCCUACCUCCAGGGGCCCUGGCUGUAGGCCGUAUAACCCUACCGCCAGAGGCCCUGGCGGUAGGAAAAAGGGUCAAAUCAUGAAAUUUUUCUGAACCGGGGUCAGAUCCUAAAUUUGUAUGCAAAAAGGGUCAAAACACGAAAUUUUGCCACUCGAGAACAAGAACAAGAAAAACAUACAGAGUAGUAGAGUGAGAUUGCUGGAAGUUGUCUGAAAUCUGGCUGUUUUGCGCUGUGAAAUUUAUGUAUUUGAAGAGCGCCUUAGGAGUACGAAAUUACACUUUCUUAAGAAAAUACAGAUUAUUAUUAUGAAAAGCAGACACACUAUUAUUAUGAGAAUUUAUUAUUACAUGAAUGGUUCAAAGACUAUGUGUGAGAAAAUAGUUUUGACCAGUAGAAUGUGGUGGGUAUGGCUUUUUGGACAUACCAUGGGAAAAUAGGGGCUUUCCUUUUUUCUAGGAAUUUGUAAACUUGUUUAUUUUCUUUACACAAAGUGGCAGUGCUAUGUUGGAUGGGGGCUGCUACGCGUCGGUCGACGUAUCUUUUUAAAAGAUCCGCCACCUCGCAAGCCGUCAAAUUUAACACAAUCUAGUCGCUAAACGUGCUCUUCUACCUUUGCAACAAAGACCUUGUUGCAGAAACAACAUUUCCAUAGUGGUUGUGUUGCAGAUUUUUUUUGCAACAUAGGUUGUGUUGCGGAUUUUUUUUCAACAUAGGUCGGGUUGCGGAUUUUUUAUGCAACAUAGGUCGCGUUGUGGAAUUUUUUAUGCAACAUAGGUCGUGUUGCAGAUUUUUUCCUUCGUCUUUCUUUUUGCAACAACAGUGAUGUUGUGGAAGAAGUUUUGCAACAUAGGUAAUGUUAAAGAAAGUUUUGCAAAUGAAAAAAGUGUGCAGAAACGCCGUCGUCAUUGCCUACGUCGAGCACGCCACUGCCAACCGCAACAGAGCAGUAGCACCACUGCCCAUGUUGUUGCAGAAGCGCGCACACCGCUACCGGGGAGCACACCAACGCGACAGGGCACCACCACCGCCCACCAAUGCGACGGGGCACCACCACCCCCGCCCACCAGCGCGAUGGGGCAACACCACCACCACCCACCACUGCAUCCCUCCCUUAAUUUUGCACCUGUAGGAAUGGGGGAAAAGGCUGUGGAUCUAGCGGGGAAAGGAUGCCCACCUGCUGUUUGUGCAGCCGUCAGCGACCUCAUAUUGCGCCAUCAUCGUCCAGCGCGGCUGGUCUGCUGCGCUUGCCUAGCCACCGCCUCUGUCCCAGCCGCACCAUGCUCCGCCUCUCCGCUGCUGGAUCUAACCACAACAGAGCUUUGAAACACGCUCUCAGUUGCAGAAAGUGUUUCUGAAACAGCAGUUGAGCUGCAGACCCAUGCGUGUGAGUGCAGGGUGCUAUCGGCCGUUGGAUCAAAAGACGAUCCAACGGACAUGGAGCCGGCGGACGUGGGCGCGAGAUUGGCCGGCAGAAGGUAAGUUUUUCCCAUGUUGGAUUCCCACGUCAUGUUUUUCCUUGUGUCGAGGUAACAGUUCAUAUGUGUUCAUGCGUGUUCGCCAAAGAGAACAGGAUCAGACCAUGACAUCUUGUUGGAUGUGGUUGAAGAGGAGCCUGCAAGGGUCUAAUCGGUGAGCAUUAAAUCCCCAGGUGCGCACAAUGAGUCUGAGCCAUGAGUUGAUUAGGGGAAUUGGAUAUAAUUUUUCUUAAACUUAGCUAAGCAAGGUGGACUGCAUGGAAGAACCAUUGUGUGGACGAGAAAUUUCACACAUGAGAUCGCUGAGGCGACUUUGAGUGUGUCACUAUUUCUAGCUAAUAUAUGCUCUUGUCCCCAUAAAAUAGGCAUGCAUUUUUUUAAGAGAGGCAAAAGAUUUGCCUCAUUCAUUAAAUAAGAGGAAUAGAGUUUAUGUUCAUGUUACAACACAUAUAGCGCCGCAACAACCGAAAUAAAAGUGACCAACUACUCUUGCGUCAUUAGGUAUCUCAACUUUCUAGCACUCGCAAUUACCCAAAGUGUGGCCUCCUUCUUGAUAUUGGCAAGUAGGACCAUCGGUGGAGCACUCUUCUGAUGGAACCCUCGCGCAACCCUCUCGUUCCAAAUGGUCCAGGCGACGAGCAUGGUGAACGAGGCCAUUGCCUUCAUGUUGGGGGUAGAUGUGUCGGAGAGGCCCACCCACCACUCUUCGAUGUUGUCCGAGAUGCGCCAUGAGGAAGUAUCGAUGCUCACCAGUUGCAGCCAGUCCUUGACUAAUCCCCAGAGGAGGAUAGAGAAGCGGCAUUUGUAGAAAAGGUGGUCAACAGACUCUUGCUCCCGCUUGCACGAAAAUUGUUGCAAAAUGAAAAUUAUUGUGUGUAAACAUGUUGUGAAAAAACUUUGCAACAUUACAUCUUGUUUUGUUUGCUUGUAAUAAAAACUUAUGGCAACAAAAACCGGAGGGCCUAAACAAAACAUUGAGAAGAAGGGGGAAAGAGUUGUUGUAAGCACUCCAUAGAGAAGAAAGGAUAGCACAACUAUGAGUGGCGGAUGAUGGGCUGCGUGAGGCCCCAUUGUGAGAUUCAAAAAGGCUUUGGUGUGUUUUUUCUUUGAAGUUUUAACUCUCAGUUUGAACUUGGGUUCCGGAUGUGCUUGUUGGAAUGAUGUCAGUAGACUUUAGUGCAGGCAAAGUCUGGAAGUGAUGUUACCCUAGAUCAAAUGUUGCUUUUAUUUUGGUCUACGCACUUUUUCUUUUGGUUUUCAUAUUUGCAUGGUUGUAAAUUUGGUGGUUUCUUUAACAAAAAUUGACGUGGAUGCUCGUUUUUCCAUAAAAAAGAAUAACAAGUGGAGCUAUCAUGUAAUAUUCCACAUAACCUCAUGGGGCUUAGCCAUGAAGUUGAAUUAGCAAAAUAGAAUCAAAGAUCAAGAAACCCUUCAACAUGGAGACCAUUACCUUGGAGUGCUAAAAUAUUUAAGGGCAGAAAAAUGCUUGAACUUCAAUUAUAAGAAUCUAAAUAUGGCAAUGGCAAAGAAAUAUGAUGGGAGAUCUUACUUUUAUUGCACACACUCCGAUUGGAUAGAAUACUUAUACCCCUAGAAGCUAGGAUCCUUUACAAUCUUUUUUGUUUUCUUUUAUAAGUUGUAAAUAACCAUGUAAAUACGUUUCCCGCAAAAAAUAACUUCUAAAUACAUUUAUAUCUUUCCUAUUUAUAAAGGUUUGGAGUUGGUGAUGAGUUUACAUGUGGACCAACAACCUUCUUAAUAAACAAAUACACUCCUCCCCACAAUUCAAAGAGAUAUAUAAAUAAUUAUAUUUGGUCACAUGUGGGGCCUAAGAUAAAUAAACAAAUACACUGCUAUUUUGAACCUCCCACAGGGGGGUGUAUCAUAGGUAGUACUACCUACGGUUCUUUUUAAUCUGCAUAUAAGUUUGAUCGAAAGUCAAAGUUUCUCUACUUUGACCAAACUUAUAGAAAAAAGUAUUAACAUUCACAAUGCCAAAUCAAUAUUUUUAGAUUCAUCAUGAAAUGUAGUUUCAUAGUAUAUAUAUAUAUAUAUAUAUUUGGUGUUGUAGAUGUCGAUAUUUUUUAUAUAAAUUUGGUCAAACUUUACAAAGUUUGACUUGACACCAAAUCUAAUAUAUAGAACAAAAAGUGAUGGAAAUAUGCCCUAGUGGCAAUAAUAAAGUUGUUAUUAUUAUAUUUCCUUAUUCAUGAUAAAUGUUUUAUUAUUCAUGCUAGAAUUGUAUUGAUCGGUGUAACAUCCCAAAUUUUCAAUUUGGAAUGUUAUACAUUAGAUCAUCAUUGCAUAUCAUAUUUUAUUGCAUUCUGACUUGAUCCUAGAAAUUCUACGCAACCCAAGGACCCAUGGAGAGAGUUGGAGAUUUCGUUAUUUUCAUAUUUGAGUUUUCUCAAAUUUUGAAAAUAGGAUCAUUUGAUUUUAUUUAUUUUAUCUUCAAAUAUUUAUAUUACAAAAAUAAAAGAGAGGGAAUAAAAUGACUUUCCAAAAAUAAAGAAAUAUUAAGGAUUUAAUAAUAAAAUCAAAUAAGAUUUUAUUUCGGAGUUUUUCACUAUUUUAUUUGAAUUUAGGAAAAUUGCACGUUUUUCAAAACUGCAUUUUAGGGCCAAGAAAAUGUUCAUCUCGUCCUAAAUAUUUUAUUUAGAUGGUGAAAAUUUGUUUUGGCAUUUUUAGAGUUUUAUUUUAUUUUUUAGGAUAUAUUUAAUUUCGGCGGAAUUUAUUUAAAUAAAAUCUUUUCUCGUGGAUUGAACUGGGCCGAAGGCCCAGCCGGCCCACUUGUCCGCGUCGCCUCGCCCGAGCGUGGCCGAGCCGNNNNNNNNNNNNNNNNNNNNNNNNNNNNNNNNNNNNNNNNNNNNNNNNNNNNNNNNNNNNNNNNNNNNNNNNNNNNNNNNNNNNNNNNNNNNNNNNNNNNNNNNNNNNNNNNNNNNNNNNNNNNNNNNNNNNNNNNNNNNNNNNNNNNNNNNNNNNNNNNNNNNNNNNNNNNNNNNNNNNNNNNNNNNNNNNNNNNNNNNNNNNNNNNNNNNNNNNNNNNNNNNNNNNNNNNNNNNNNNNNNNNNNNNNNNNNNNNNNNNNNNNNNNNNNNNNNNNNNNNNNNNNNNNNNNNNNNNNNNNNNNNNNNNNNNNNNNNNNNNNNNNNNNNNNNNNNNNNNNNNNNNNNNNNNNNNNNNNNNNNNNNNNNNNNNNNNNNNNNNNNNNNNNNNNNNNNNNNNNNNNNNNNNNNNNNNNNNNNNNNNNNNNNNNNNNNNNNNNNNNNNNNNNNNNNNNNNNNNNNNNNNACGAGGUAGCCGCCGCCGCUGCCACUGAUUUUUUUUAAAAACCCGUUCGUUUUUUUUAAAACCCUAGAUCCAUUUUUUCGGUUCGUCGGGUUUUCCCGGUUUAGUUAUUUAACGGACGUUCGUCCAUAUGUUCUUUUUAACGAAUGGUUUUCAUCGUUUAGUCGUAGACAGCGAACGUUCGUUCGUUAGCCUGUACGUCCGUUUUUCUUUUUCUCGGAUUUUCCGCGAUUAUUCCAGAUCAUGAUUUCUGAUCCGAUUUCCGUUUUAGUAUAACUUUUCGCUCGUUUAUCGGAAUCAGUCGAUUCAAGCGCCUAGAGUUUCGUCUCGAAACCCUCUUUUUGUUUAACUAACUCAAAAAAGUUUUUGCUACUGUAAAAUUUGACUUAUGUCCAGAGUAGUAAACGAAGCUUGUUUCUUUCGCCGUUUGACUUUUGUUGCUUCGUUUGAUUUGAUUCUUUUUGCAAACCGAAGUUCUUAAGUUGAACUUUCUGGUUAGAUCUCUUAUUUGAGUUUUACCUAUGCAUUAGUUGAGUGCUUAUUGUAUGCUUUUUUGUUUGCGAUAGAGUACCUGGAGUGCGCCACUUGCUACUUCGAAUCUCUAGGUUUCACGGAUCAUCAACAAGGCAAGUAACACUUUGAUCAUACCUCUUUACUACCCAGUUUUAUUGCAUUAGAUCAACCCUCAAACAAUUGCAUGAUUAGGAUAUGUUUUAAACUGUGGGUUUUGGGAAGUAGAUUGAGGUAGUACCUAUUACCUGUUUUAUUAUAAAACCUUUGGGAGUUACUUCUACAUUUGCUUAUAUUGCCAUGCUAUGCUAGUAGACGUGGAUUGGGUGAGUGUAUCCAUGACAGAUGUGAGAUUGUUAUUUAAUGGUUUAUUUAAGGUGGCAACUUUAAUACACAUCUGGGUGGAUUGAGGCACCUGGGGAACCCAGUGAUUGCUUGUUUUUUUAUGGACCGCCACCCAGGCUCAAAGGGAUCAUGAGAUUAUUCAUGCUAGAAACUUUCGUGUGCAGCAACAAGCUACUAUGGGCUCUAGCAUAGUUGGUUAAGUCGUGUGAACUCUUAUAGUGGUAGACUAGCAGAUGUAGGGGAAAGUAGGUGUAACUGUCUACCCGAUUGUAAGGUGCAAACGCUUCUGAAAGACUAUGUCUCGAUCAUCCAUUUCUUAAACACCUUGUAGUGCAAGAAUUCCAACGGAGGAGAUCGAGUCUUGUGGGAAAAAGUGCGCAAACCUCUGCAGAGUGUACAAACUAAUCAUGGUUAGCCGUGUCCCCGGUUAUGGACGUUUUGAGUAUCUAGUACUUGGAUUUUCAUGUGAAUCUCAUCAUGUUACUUUAAUUUAAUUUGUUGGGUUUAAUGAUGAUGCUUAAUUGGGAUUGAGUUGGGUGAACAUUCUCAAUGUUUAACAACCACCAUGAUAGCUAAAUAAAAUUUAUUCCUUUGUAGUAGGAAAAAUUGGCUUUAUGCAAAACUGUAACCAUAGAGUUUUCCACCAGCCAUAUAUGCAUGUAGUAUAGCAUUAUUCUGUUCAUUACUCUCUAUGUGUUACAUUGCCAGCAUAUUCCAUGUGCUGACCCAUUUUUGGGCUGCAACGUUCAUGUUGUAGACUUUUCAGAGGACAAGUAAGGUGCCUUAGGUCAUGGUCUUAUACUCAGUGAUGCCGUUGGAGUUGAUGGACUCGCUUAUCUUCCAAGCCUUCCGUUGUUAUCGUUAUUAGAUGGCCUUAAGCCAUAUUUAUUGUAAUAAGUUCUCUUUUGAGACAUUCGAUGUAAUAAGUGUGUGAUUGCUACUUUGUUAUAAAUCCAUUGAGUACUAUGCGUGUCGGGGAUAUACCCCGCGGUAUGACCCGGCCGGAGUCGUAACCCGGCCGGGACUCGGUAAACCGACAGGUGGUAAACCGGUAGGUGUUAAGUCAGAUGAUAAUCCGGCAGGUGUUAAGUCAAAUGAUAAUCUGGCAGGUGUUAAGUCAGAUGAUAAUCCGGCAGGAGUUAAGUCAGAUGAUAGCCUGGUGUACAAUCUUAAACCGGCAGACAAUGUUAAAUCGGCAGACAAUGUUAAACCGACAGACGUUAAGAAGCCCAGGAAGGGAAGUCAAAAUAGUUUAAGUCUUAGUCCGAGAUGGACUCUACAUGUAACCUGCCCCUUUAACUUAUAUAAAGAGGGGCAGGGCUCCCCAAAGAGGGACAAGCAAGAAACAAUCUCUAGGGCUAGGCACAACUAGAGGAAAGCCGGUUUACGGUGACUCCCUCGUGAUGAUAAUGAGAUCUAGCCUCAAACAACAUGUAGGGUUGUUACCGGAUGAUGUUUCCCGGGGCCCGAAGCUGUCUAAACCCUUGUCUUGCGUUGCGUCUCUCGAUUCCGCUCAACCCCUCUCAAGCUACCACAUAGAUGCGUUGGUCUCACGACUAAGUCCUCACACUAAAAACAUCUGACGUGUUAAUUCCACGACAGUUGACGCCCACCGUGGGGCCUGCGCACGGUGGUGUUGAGUUCUUGAAGGGAUCUCUUUUGGGGAUCGAGAAGCUCUCGAUCAGUUUGAUUCAAGGUUCGUUUGGAAUCUUCAUCAGGAGCGGUGGUAACCCGCCGGACGCCCGUAGGUACAUCAGUAAGACGUGGGGAGUUGGAUUUGUAUAGCGGUAUGAGACGCUGCAUCUAGACGACCCGGCAAAACCAAGUUGAAGACAAGACAUCGGUCCGUCGCAAAAAUUGCUAUGAGCUUUAUCCUCUGUGUUUUGAUCGGAAGGAACCAGGCCAUGUCAUAGGACCGUCUGUACUACUCGAUUGGAGUCAAAGUAUGUAACAGCUUGGAGUCUUAUCGGCGGAACAUUUUACGAGUCGGGACCGGUUUGUAUGAUUUGCCUCACAGAUUAAGCAUCUGUCAUACAGCUGCCGCUACCUCCAAAUCGCCGGUCUCGGAAGCACCACGGGUCUCAGUACCUCCAAACCGCCCUAGCUGGUCUCCUCCACUUUAAAAUUGCCGAGUCCUAGCCGCUUCUGAGUCGCCUAUUGUUUUUGGCUCUAACUCGGCGUCUGCGCUUGUAGGCCACAGUAGGCCGCAAUCCACCUCGCUCUAACCCGGUGCCGGCCUGCGCCUGCCUCUCGUUGGCUCUUGUGAACAGCCUUAGAGCAUCUCCAACAGCCGCGCAAAGCGCCGCGCGCAAAAAACCUGUUUAGCGCGCGCGCUGCGGCUGGUUUUGCGCGCCCGCCUGCGCUGGCUCCAGCAGCGGUGCUAUAAUGCAGCGCGCGCGCCGCUCCAGCAGAGCGCAAAAAUAUAGCGUGCGCGCCGCACAAACCACAUGUACAUUUCAGAGAAGAUGAGCAAAAAUGAUCAAACAAACAAAAUAAAAAUCAACAACAAAUAGUUCAAAAUAAAUCAUUACAACUCAAACAAAUAGUUUAUCGUUCAGUACAACAACAAAUAGUUCAAAUAAAUUAUUACAACACAACAAAUAGUUCAUGAACAAUACAAUGUCGAGUGCAGAUAUCAUCAUGCUCUUUGCCGUCCAUGCCAUGCCCACCACUCUUCAAUUAGAUCAUUCUGAAGUUCAUUGUGCGUUGCAGGACGCCGAAUGGCAUGAUAGGAGGCAACAAAACGGGCUACCCUUUCAGCCCUCCGCCGCACUCACACGGGAUGUCCCAAGAGCUCAUACUAUGAGUAGUCUAAAUCUUGGCCACGCUCAUUCUCGAUGAUCAUGUUGUGCAUGAUCACACAAGCGUGCAUGAUGUACCAAAGCAUUUGUUGAUCCCAAAAUCUUGCCGGUCCUCUCACAAUAGCAAAUUGGGCUUGCAAAAUCCCAAAUGCUCUCUCCACAUCUUUUCUAGCCGCCGCCUGAGCAUUGUGGAAAUCAAGAUUUUUCUUACCUUCCGGUUUUUUCUACGGCUUCACGAAGGUUUGCCACUUUGGAUAGAUGCCAUCCGCUAGAUAAUAGCCAUAGUUGUACGUACGGCCAUUUGCUACAAACUGCACAGGUGGCAACUCACCGUUUGCAAUCUUAUUCAUCAGUGGUGACCGGUUGACAACAUUGAUGUCAUUCAAAGAUCCAGGCAUUUCAAAGAAUGCAUGCCAAAUCCAAGUCUCCUGAUCGGCCACCGCUUCAAGGAUUAUAGUGGAACCCUUUUUUUGGCUGUGGAAUUGCCCAUGCCAUGCAUUUGGACAAUUCUUCCAACUCCAAUGCAUGCAAUCUAUUGAGCCAAGCAUGCCAGGAAAGCCGCGCGCUUUGUUCAUCGCCGAUAGCCUUGCAGCGUCUUCAGCAGUGGGAGAUCUCAAAUACUCCUCGCCAAACACUUGCACAAUUCCCACUGCAAAGCGCUUGACACACAUGAUGGCUUGGCUCUCACCCAUAGCCAAAUGAUCAUCAACUAGAUCAGCCGGGAUACCAUAUGCCAACAUACGCAAAGCGGCUGUCACCUUCAGAAAAGUGCUAUGCCCGAGCUCUCCGGCGGCAUUCCUCCUUUGCUGGAAAAACCGGUCAUGGCUCGCUAGUUUCUCUGCAAUGCGCCUGAACAAAUCGGUGCUCAUCCUAAACCGGCGAUGAAAAUACGACUCCUGGUAUGUGGGAUUCUCCACGAAAUAGUUCUUCAUCAAUCUGUUAUGGGCAUCAAUCCUAUCUCUCCAAAUUUUCUCCCGACCCAUAACCAAACCACCGUGCUUCGUUUUUUUAUUGAUAUGCAUAGCUACGAUCAUUGCAAGAUCCUCCUCCUCUUCCAUAUCAAAUUCUUCUUCGGAAGAAUCAUACGACAAACUCAUCUACAAUGUUCAAUACUAUACUAUAAAAACUACAAUUCAAAACAUGCAUCAAAUUCAUGAAGUUUGAGCAAUACAUACCUUGUAGGCGUUUUGUCAAACACCUUGCGGGCGCGGCGCGGCAGCGAGCGCUCGGGCGCUGUUCCUCGGACGACGGAGGCGCGCGGGCGCCGGCGGUACUAGGAGGGGAUGGGCGGAAUCGCGGGCGCGCGGGGAUAGGUCGGGGAAGCCUGAGACGGUCGCCGGGGUGCGCGGGCGGCGGCGGCGCGGCCGAUCGGGGGUGGAAGCGCGAGAGGAAGAGCGGGCGUGAGCGCUCGAGCGUGCCGCGCGCUGUAGUGGGCGCCCGAAAUACGCCGCGCGGGUAAGUGUUUUUGACCACGCGCCCAACCCGUUUUAGCGCUCGCGCCAUUUUUGCGCGCCCGCUGGAGCGCCCUGACGCAUUGCGCGCGGGCUAAAACGACCUAUUUUUCGGCGCGGCGCUAGUUUAGCGCGGCUAUUGGAGAUGCUCUUAAGUUACGCCAACAAAUCGCCUCCAACGGCCCCGUCUGUCGUCAUCUCACCCCGCUGUGACCCGCCGUCUGCGCCUUUGCAUUGGGCCACUCUAGCCGUCCCGCCGAGUCGACCAGUUUGCCUGUAUGGCCUAGAGGCGCCGAGGCCUGCCAACCUCAGACCCGUCGUCCUGCGCCCGGAUCAAUCUGCUCGGGCCAACGACCUCCGCGGCCCCGUGCUAAGUUGCCUUCGCGGUGCUCGCCUGCCUCUGCUUGCCUCCAUGGUUACACGUUAACACGGCUGGUUGUUGCUGCCUCAAGUCGCCAUCGCCGUUCUGAACCGCUUCGGCUGUACGCGGGCCUGGGCCGGUCACUUCUACUGCUGGCCGCUUCGUUUCACUUCCGGGCCGCCGCGUUGCCGUGACUCGCCCCACCGGCACGCUUCGAGACGGCCUCUGUAUCUCCGUCAACCUCCAAUAUGGUCAAAUGGACAAGUUCUAAGCCAUUGUAGUGGCCCUUCAACUCCAAGUCACUGCUGCACGGCUCCGAGUCACCGGCAUGGCCUCUGUGGCCAACGCUGCCGCACCUUGAGACGGCGCUGCCGCUUCUACGCCCGCGGCCUCGUCACUGUUGCAGUUCUCCUCCAACCGGCCACCUCCACUCGAGUCGCCGAGCCAACGCUUCCGGGGCUGGCCUCGCCUCCGCUGUCGCUUGCCGCCAAACCGCCCGGCCUCGCGCCUAAACCGCUGGCCUCUGCUUCCAUGGCUUCAUCCGCCUCCGCCACCGUGAGCCACCGACAGUAUUGAGUCGCCCCCGCGACUGCGCCGCUCUAAGCACCCGGUUUACCUCGCCGCGGUGCCUUCGAGCUGCUCCCGCCGACGGUCCACCCCGUCGCUCAUCCUUAAACCGCCCCCGUGCUGAACAACCGCAUCCUCGAGCUGCCACCUGACCCGGCAACGCGCCGCCUCAUCAAACCACUGGCCCCGAAUCGCCAAAGCAGUCGGCCCUGCGUCCUCGAGGUGCAGGAUACAGAGACAGGAACGUAUCGCGGCAAGACACCUCUCGAUGGAUGGAUAGAACGGAGGAGGAUACACACAGCUAAAAAGAAAGAAGAAGAAAAAUUGCUGCUACUCCGAUUAGCAGUGGUCAGAGCGCUGCUGCAUGUGUUCAGAUAAAUAUAAUAGGCUGAAGCCAGCUAAUUCUUGAGGAGAAGCAAACUUUUCAAAUGCACAAUUAUGGUCUACUAAAGAGGGUUAUGACCUGGACAAGUUCAAAGACGUGCACGUUUUACGCAGUGCUAAUCAUCUAUGGAUUAUCUGUUGGCUGAGAAAUCACUUUCAGAUUGAGUUAUUACACAGGUCAAAAGGCGCUACAAACAUUAACAUGCAUCUCAAUCAGCACUUAAGCAUCAUCCAGCAUCUGUCGACCCGCCUAUGCCAUCGUCGCGGUCGACGCCCCUCCGUUUGUACGCGAGUCUCCGCACCGGGUUUCUCGUAUCGCAAGUUGCCCGCCUGUCUGCUACCAGCUCGCUCCUCUACAUUGAACCAUCGCCAUCUGAGGGAAGUAGCCGUCGGCUCGUCACCCGCUCUAAACCGGCUCUACUGUCGCUCACCGCCAAACUACUUGUACUCGCGCUUAAACCGCUGGCCUCUGCUUCUGCAGCCUCAUCUGCCUCACCGCCGAAGUGAGCACUGAGCCGUUCCACCAUGGGCUGCGGCCUCCGCUACCGGAACCCGCCGGGCCUAUCUGAAACACACCUGUGAAGCUGAAACCGUGAAAGGUCAUCGUUUGGGGACACAGCGAUGGAUUGUUACGUGUGAUCUCCAACAAGAUACCAUCGGUGUUGCCUGACAGUUGUCAUGGAUAUUGCAUGGACUUUCUUAUUGAAGCAUUUAAAGGGUAAUGGUACGAUGCAUGGACUGAAGAAGCACGAGAUGCUAUGAUUGAACUGGGCUGUAUUUUCAUGCAAGCCUGUACUGCCGAGCUGGUCAACGCUCAUAUAUCCGCGCCGGGAUUCCUCCAGAGCGCCUCUGCUUGCUUUCACUGUAACACGCCCUGUUGACCCGCCAAGCCCCGGUGAACCGUCCUCCCUCUAUGCUAGAUCCCGCAUCACGAGCCGCCUGAUGCCUCUGCUCGUGAGCCGCCCCACACACCUCGUCGGCCUCAGCUUGCCGUUCGCCUGCAAACUGCUCUACGCCGCGGCCUUGCCAGUGACUUGCUUCUGAAUCGGCCGCCCUGGCCCUGCAGGCUGCUCCCUUCCUACGCCCCUGCGCUGAUGGAAACAACAGAAGAAAAGUCAAAGUGGUUAAGUGUUGAAAAAAAACUUUUGAUCAUAUCAGAAGAUAUACGAGGCAUUCCCGAGGAUAAAUAUGCCCCAAUUUCUUGGAGUGAAGAUUAUACGAACUACAUCGAACUCUGGCAAGUCCCGUGAAAGGAUCAACACAAAAGUUAUUGGUUAUCUACAGACGCCAUAUAAUGAUGAUCUGUCAUCUAAAUAUCAGGUGAUAUUUAUCUUACAUAUUUUGUUAAGUACAUGUUGAUUUCCUUCGACAAACAACUACUCCACCCUGCUGUAUUUUUUGUACGCAGGACAACUAUUCACUACAAAUGUGGUUUAUAGCACGGACAUGAAGCACGUACUAGCAACAUUGCACCCGGACCGUCCCUGGGAAUUAACUCGUUCGUCCGCGCCGGCUUACAAUGCCGCGGUCGACUCAUCUGUCCGAGCUGCUUCUGAUGUUGUGGUCGUCUUUGUCAUUCGUCUCUCGUGACCUGGUCUACAUCAACAUACCGGGCCGCAUCUGUUUGCAUGAGCUAUAUAUUGAAUAAAAAGCGAGUCACUGCUUGGGUAGCCCGGUUUUCUUCCAACAAAUUGGAGGCAAAUUAUCGUUCAACUGUCUGCGCUGGAUGGUUUAAUGGACAUGCGCACAAAUCGCUGCACUACAGUUUGGUUACCUUCAAAUCGCUAGUUGGAAGGAACCAUUGGCCGAGUUGCUGACAUGGCUCACACGUGAUCAUUUAUAACCCGCCGCAGUCACCUCAACCUUCUGUGGACUCACACCGUGCUAUCAACACCAAUGAUAUAUAAGCUAUGCCGGUUUAUAUCACAGUCAAAUAUGGAGAGUCUCAAGCCAACUCCUCGAGUCACCUUUGAGACUCGGGGGCUACGAUGACAUGACUCAGCAAAUCUUGCCAGUUUCAGCAAAUUUAAGAACCCCAGGACGAUGGAGGUAAAGAUAACCCAGUCCCGGAGGCUAUUGUUAUAUUUAUGAAAGUUUAAAGGCUGUCAGAAAAUUUCCGGCUUAGAAAGGAUAUGACAGUUACAGAAUCCCGGCUUAAGGAAGAAGUUUCGGGUCAUCAGAAAGGAUUCCGGUUUAAAAUCCGGCUCAAGGGGAGUCAGUCUCACUGAAGCUCUCAAAUAUCCGGUUUACAAUCCGGUUCAAGGGAAAUCUAUUCUCCCACAAAGCUAUGAAGCUCUGAAAUCCAGUUUAAGAAUGUCCAGUUCAAAUAAUUAACUUCUCGCAAGUUCGAGUUUAAAAGCCGCCAGAAAAAUUCCGGCUGAAAAUAAAGAUUCCGGUUUAAGGUGCCGGUUCAAGAAAAAAGUUAUCUCUUGCAAAAAGUUAAAGGUUGCCAAAGAGGACCUGUUGCCAUGAUGCACGGUUCAAACAUGGGUAUCCCGCAUUAUUGGCUAUCAUAUUAUUGGUUACAUGGGGGCUUCAGCUGACAAAGCGGAGUUCUGUCCAUUAAUCCGGCUAUCACGCCACAACAAAGCUUAGGAGCUUCACACCCAAGGGGCCAAAGAGAGUCUUGUUGCUAUGCACAACUCAAACAUAGGCACCCAUUGAGCACAGCUCACAAAGUUACUUGGGGGCUCUUUGUGCAAAGCAACAAAGAGUUUGAAAGGACCCUUGUAAUUGGGUAUCGACCCACGGCUUGGAAGCUUGGUGUAUUCACCUAAAACCCCGGGUUAACCUGCCUUCAUCAAGUAAGCCACUCCUAUCCAGGUAAUCCUGGCAUGACCCGCCGAAUGUUUGGCAAGUCAAUCAUAUACAGACCCUGAACUUUUCAAAGUUAAAACGACGAUUGGUUAGUUGGAGGCCCAUCUUAAAAGGCUUUGCAAAAUGGUUUAACUCAGCGGCCUGGCAGCCCAUGAAAAGCCUCGAAUUUCGGCCUGGCAGCCCUUGAAAAGCCUCGACUACAAGUUUUAUUUGAUUUUGCCUUUGUCAAGAUUUUUCUCUUUUGAUAAAAUUUUAUGUUGAACCGGUGUCUUUUGACCCGGCAUGACUAUCAGUCAUCAAAUUAACCCGGUGUUCAUUAACCCGGCUCGACUUUCAACUACAAGUUGUCAGUACAUAAUCACUUAUCAUCUGGUGUUUAUUGACCCGGCCUGGCUUUGGACUAUAAGUCGCCAGUAUAUAUUUGGAUUGCGCCAUUGGAAUCAUGCGCUUAUAAAUCAUUGGGUAUAUUAUUCAAAUAGCCAACAUGGCUGGAUUUUUAUUAUGGUUAUCAAUAACCAAUAUUAUGAUUGAGGUUUUCAAAGUCGCUUCAGCGCACUGGAUAUUAUUUUAUCAAUGGGUAUGAUUUAUUCUACAAAGGAAUAGUCCCAAGUCACCGCAGGCUUACGACCCAGCACUUGGGGGCUACAUUAUUUAAGUUGGGAUUACAUCAAAUACACAAGUCUCAUGUCGCUGCAAGCAUGCACCAUGACACUUGGGGGCUAAUGCAAAGUCAUUUUUUGCUCAUCUUAUUGAAGACCCGACUCAUCACAUUGUAAUGAGCCGGCCCUUGGGGGCUACCAAUUGCUCCUGUCAACAAUUCAAGGUACAAAGCUUUUUAUUCAUUAUAUUGAAGGGUCCACUGCUCAGUUGGUAAAACACAAGGCUCUUAACCAUGUGGACGUGGAUUCAAGCCCCAUGAUGGGGUUACAUCAUAUGAUGUUAUUUUUUAUUGAAGUAUAUAUCAAGUCCCAGCUCAAUAUUAUCUUACUGAGCCGGCCCUUGGGGGCUACACCAUUGCUAUUCAAAGUUUACAUGAUUAUAUUUACAAAGUCCCUGCUCAUUAUUGCAUAAUGAUCCGGCCCUUUGGGGCUACAGUGGUUGAAGUUUUUAUGAGCAUCAGGAAAUUACAAGUCCCAGGUUGCUGCAAGCUUGACAACCCGACACUUGGGGGCUACAUAUGUGGAAUACUCAGUUCUGACUAGUGAUUGAGAUGAACAAACUGGAUUUCUUCAAGCAUGUGACAUUCAUAUUGAAGCAAAUCUUAAGAUAUUACUAUGUUACCUUCUUAAGAUUUGAGGGCUACAAGUGAUGGGUAUAUAAGAGGUAUGUUUUCAAAAGCUGAUGUCAACAAACAGUUAUGAUUCGGUGCCAUCAAUAUUUCUAAACCGGCAAAGUUCUACAUUCUUAAACCGGCAAGUUUUACAUUCUUAAACCGGCUGAAGAUCAGAUGAGUAUUUCAAGGACCAAUAUUGUUUUUAAGCAUUGGUAGCUGAAUCAAAGGAGUUAUUCUUCAUAAUAUAUUUUCUAUGAGAAACCAAUGUCAGCAAGUUGAUUAUGAAGCUAGCCUAUUAAACCGGAUUUUCUAGAAGAAGGAAAUGACAAGGAUUUAAGGAUGCUCAGGAUCAGUUUAACAUGGAUAAAUCCAAAAUUAAACUGGGGGCUAAUGUCGGGGAUAUACCCUGCGGUAUGACCCGGCCGGAGUCGUAACCCGGCCGGGACUCGGUAAACUGGCAGGUGGUAAACCGGCAGGUGUUAAGUCAGGUGAUAAUCUGGUUGGUGUUAAGUCAGAUGAUAAUCCGGCAGGAGUUAAGUCAGAUGAUAGCCCGACGUACAAUCUUAAACUGGCAGACAAUGUUAAACCGGUAGACAAUGUUAAACCGGCAGACAAUGUUAAACCGGCAGACAAUGUUAAACCGGCAGACAAUGUUAAACCGGCAGGCAAUGUUAAACCGACAGACGUUAAGAAGCCCAGGAAGGGAAGUCAAAAUAGUUUAAGUCUUAGUCCGAGAUGGACUCUAGAUGUAACCUGCCCCUUUAACUUAUAUAAAGAGGGGCAGGGCUCCCCAAAGAGGGACAAGCAAGAAACAAUCUCUAGGGCUAGACACAACUAGAGGAAAGCCGGUUUACGGCGACUCCCUCAUGAUGAUAAUGAGAUCUAGCCUCAAACAUCAUGUAGGGUUGUUACCGAAUGAUGUUUCCCGGGGCCCGAAGCUGUCUAAACCCUUGUCUUGCGUUGCAUCUCUCGAUUCCGCUCAACCCCUCUCAAGCUACCACAUAGAUGCGUUGGCCUCACGACUAAGUCCUCACACUAAGGACAUCUGACGUGUUAAUUCCACGACAGUGCGUGUCAGCAUUACUAAUCCAGGGAUGACACUGAUGCACAGAGAUCAGACUGUUUGAGGUCUGGUUGCUACAAGAUGGUAUCAGAGCACACAUUGACUGUAGGACACGAUCACUAAGCUAAAACCCUAGAUCACUACCCUCUCUUCUCAUUUUUGAAACCUCAUCUUUUCUACUCUUUUAGGAAUGGCGGAUGCAAGGAACAAGUUCACGCAACCGGAUGAAGAUACACCCUUUGGACGCCACUUGAAGGAAGUCACUAAGUACCUGAACAUCGGAGUACCUAGCUUCACCGGGACCUACAUCGCCACUUUACCCGAAGAGGAGCGUUGGAUGAUUCAAGUUCAAGUUUUAGGAAGGAUGUUCAUGCCCGUCACUCAGCACAUAGAGUUUUCCUUCGAUGCACCAACCUGGAGUCUAGGAAAGAGCAUGGCAUCCCACAUCACCAUUGGACGCGUUGGAGAAGUUUACCACAAGGAGCUCAAGGAUACUAUUUACCAGAUUUGUGGGCGCCGAGAUGAGAAAUGGGAGAUGAUCAGCACCAGAAAGGAUAGAUCAAUUGUAGCUUUCAUCCAGGAGUUAAAUCAACACAUUCGUCGCCAGGAGAAUCAGAUGUGCGCAUGCAUGAUAGAUCUGAAGAAGGCUAUGACCAAGAUCACAGAGCUGGAGGAAGAACUCAAGUCUACACGCGAUGGAUAUGAGGAGGAAAUGACAACACUCGUGGAGAAGAAUGAAGAUCUGAAGAAGAAGCUAAAGGUGUUUAUGGGAUUUCCCGCGAUUGGAGGAGAAGACGAUGAUUUCACUUGCCCGGAGAACUAUAUCAUCAUCGACGACACCGACUUGGACCCAGAUGAUAGCGAUGAUGACUAUGUUGAUGAAGCUGGAGCAGAUAUCAUGGAGUCUUCGACCGAUCAAUUUUUUCUAGUCGACCACCAUAACAUUAGUAGUAUUCCCCCAUGUAUAUAGUAUAGUCCGAGCAGUUUUGUAACGAUAGUUAGAUCGUUGUAUGCCCUUGCUUGAAUUGAUUGAAAUGAUAUUAUUUUCUUUUUGUCUCAUGUUCAUAUGGGUAGUGUUUUCCCUCUAGACCUCAUUCUAUUAUGUAUUCUCAUCUUUUCUAAACCAUCAGAUGCCUCCGAGAUGUGACAAUGGAUUUGCUUUCCCACCAGAGCACACUCAGUUGAUCCAGCAACAGAAUGCAUUGAUGCAGCUUCUAGUCCAGAAUCAGAAUCAGGGGAACAACAACAACAACAAUAACCCACCGCCACCACCACCUAUUGAUCACUUAACCCAUUUCUUAAGACUGAAUCCGUGGUGUUCUCCAGUAGCACCGAGCCGAUAGUUACAGAUGAUUGGCUCCGCAAGACGGGAAGGGAGUUGACCACUUCAGGAUGCACGGAUGCGGAAAAGGUGCGUUUUGCCGCACAUCAGCUAGAUGGACCCACAACAUCAUGGUGGGAGAAUUUCACAGUCACUUAUCCUAUCGAUACUGUCACAUGGGACCAGUUUCAGCAGGCUUUCCAUACUGCCCAUGUUUCAGCAGGAGCUAUGGCCAUGAAGAAGCGUGAGUUUUGAAACUUACGCCAAGGAGGACGUACUGUUGGCCAGUAUGUGGAUGACUUUAGUAAGCUUGCAUGUUAUGCCCCAAAUGACGUUGCUACGGAUGUAGCUAAGCAAGAGAAGUUUCUGGAAGGACUGAAUGAUGAGCUGAGCAUGCAGUUGAUGAUAGCAACCUUCAACAACCAGCAGGAGUUGGUAGAUAGAGCUCUCAUGAUUGAAGGGAAACAACAACAGAUUGACAACCGUAAGAGGAAGUAUGGACAAGGGAAGUACAAUUCUGGAGCUCAGCAGAAGCCUCGUUUUACCCCGAAUUCGGGAGGACAUUUUCAGCAUACCCAUGGAGGAGGGAGCUCGCACAAUCAUAGUGGCCCCAAGAAUGGUAAUGGGAAUGGAGGAAGCAACAGCCAUAACUGUACCAACCCAUCAACCCCAGCCAAGAGGGAUCUGAGCCAAGUCACUUGCUAUAAGUGUCAGAGGACUGGACAUUAUGCCAAUGAAUGUCCUGAAGCUAAGAAUGGAAAUGGUAAUGGAAGCUCUGGGAAGAAGCCGAACCCUUUCAACAGGGGACAGGUGAACCACGUUAACGUGGAGGAGGUUGAAGCCCAGCUAUAUGCAGUAAUAGGUAAGUUUUUGGUUAAGUCAUUUACUUCAAUCGUUCUUUUUGAUACUGGUGCAUCACAUUCAUACAUAUCAAGGGGAUUUGUGGAUAAGUAUAAACUGCCCACCAAAGUUCUUAGAACAACUAUGUUAGUAAGCUCACCAGGAGCGGAGUAUAUGGCCAACCAAGGAUGUUUUCAAGUGCCAUUGAGCAUAGGUAGGCAUGUUUUCCCCUCGGAUUUAAUCAUUUUAGAAUCGCAAGGUUUGGAUGUGAUUCUGGGUAUGGAUUGGCUAUCGAUGUAUGGAGGAAACAUCGAUUGUGCCAGUAAGUCGAUUUUGCUUACCACCCCAUAAGGGAGAAGGAUCAAGUAUGUAUCACGGCAUGAGCCGAAGAGGACUCAAGUGAAUUCAUUAUCCGGAGUUGUACAAGAGGAAGUACCAGUGGUGAAGGAUUUCCCCGAUGUAUUUUCGGAGGAGUUGCCAGGCAUGCCACCGGACAGAGACAUUGAAUUUUUGAUUGAGCUUUUGCCAGGCACAAGGCCAAUAUCUAAGAGACCGUACAGGAUGCCCGCACAAGAUUUGGAGGAAAUUAAGAAGAAGAUUAAGGGAUUACUGGAUAAAGGCUAUAUUCUCCCAAGUUCGUCACCUUUGGGAUCGCCAGUGCUUCUAGUGGAGAAGAAGGAUGGAUCAUUGAGGAUGGUUGUUGAUUAUCGAGGAUUGAAUGAAGUGACAAUCAAGAACAAGUACCCGUUGCCUAUGAUCAAUGAUUUGUUUGACCAGUUGCAAGGAGCUAAGGUAUUUUCCAAGAUCGAACUGCGAUCAGGAUACCACCGAUUGAAGAUUCUAGAGCAGGAUAUACCUAAGACAUCAUUUACCACCAGGUACGGGCUGUAUGAGUAUACCGUUAUGUCAUUUGGUCUGACUAACGCACCUACCUAUUUCAUGAACAUGAUGAACAAGGUGUUUAUGGAGUUUUUGGAUAAGUUCGUCAUGGUGUUCAUUGACGACAUUUUGGUCUAUUCGAAGAAUGAAGAGGAGCAUAAGGAGCAUUUGCGUUUGGUACUUGGGAAGCUCAGAGAAUAUCAGUUAUAUGCCAAGUUCAGUAAGUGCGAAUUUUGGUUGAAGGAAGUUGGAUUCCUUGGACAUGUUAUAUCCGGAUAAGGAAUAACAGUAGACCCCACCAAAGUUGUCACUAUGACAAAUUGGGAAGCCCCAACGACAGUUGGAGAGAUCCGGAGUUUUCUUGGACUUGCAAGAUACUACCGGAGGUUCAUUGAGAAUUUCUCAAGGAUUGCAAAGCCCAUAACGGAGUUGUUGAAGAAGGACACCAAAUUCAAAUGGACUGAGGAAUGUGAGGCCAGUUUUCAGGAGUUGAAGAAACAUUUGGUUACAUCGCCAGUGUUGAUUUUGCCAGAUCAGCGCAAGGAUUAUGAGGUGUAUUGCGAUGCUUCAUGUUGAGGACUUGGAGCAGUACUUAUGCAGGAGGGAAGAGUUGCUUCAUAUGCCUCAGGACAACUUAAGCCCCAUGAGUUGAAUUAUGCUACACAUGAUUUGGAGUUAGCAGCCGUAGUGCAUGCAUUGAAGACAUGGAGGCAUUUUCUCAUCGGAAAUCAUUGUGAGGUGUACACGGAUCACAAGAGUUUGAAGUACAUCUUCACGCAAAAGGAGUUAAAUCUCGGGAAAAGGAGAUGGUUGGAGCUCAUCAGGGAUUAUGAUAUGAGAUUGCAUUAUCACCCUGGAAAGGCUAACGUAGUAGCCGAUGCAUUGAGCCGCAAGAGCCAUGUCAACACACUCUUGACCGGAGAGUUACCAAAGGAGUUAGCCGAGGAUCUUCGCGAGCUAUGUAUGGAGAUAGUUCUGAGAGGUUAUGUAGCAGCAUUGGAGAUUCAGUCUACUUUGAUGGAUAACAUCAGAGAAGCUCAAAAGACCGACAAGGAGACUGCCGCUAUAAAGGAGAGGAUGAGCAAAGGAAAAGCUAAAGGAUUUCGUGAGGAUGAGCACGAUACCUUAUGGUUUGAGGACCGCGUUUAUGUGCCUAAUGACCCGGAGAUCAGGAAGUUAAUUCUGCAGGAGGCCCAUGAUUCGCCACACUCAAUUCACCCAGGAAAUACCAAGAUGUAUCUGGAUUUGAAGGACACUUUCUGGUGGACCGGAAUGAAGAAAGAUAUUGCGGAGUACGUAGCAGUUUGUGAUGUAUGCCAGAGAGUAAAGGCACAGCAUCAGAAACCAGCAGGAUUGCUACAACCAUUGCUGAUACCCGAAUGGAAGUGGGAUAAACUAGGCAUGGAUUUUAUCACAGGAUUGCUCAGGACUCGUUCAGGCUAUGACUCAAUAUGGGUUGUACUCGAUCAUUUGACGAAGGUAGCUCAUUUUAUCCCAGUGAAGACCACUUACACCAGUGCUAAGUUGGCAAAGAUAUACAUGACCAGGAUCGUAUGUCUGCAUGGAGUUCCGAGGAGCAUUGUAUCAGAUAGAGGAACCCAGUUUACCUCAAAGUUCUGGAAUCAGUUGCAUGAAACUUUGGGUACCAGGCUAGAGUUUAGUACAGCCUUUCAUCCGCAGACAGAUGGAUAGACCAAGAGAGUCAAUCAAAUUUUGGAGGACAUGUUGAGAGCUUGUGCGCUAGCUUAUGGAUCUAGUUGGGACGAGAAUUUGCCGUAUGCGGAGUUCGCUUACAACCACAGUUAUCAAUGUAGUUUGAAGAUGACCCCUUCCGAAGCCUUGUACGGAAGGAGGUGCAGGACACCGUUAUUGUGGCACAAAGUUGGAGACCGUCAGUUGUUUGGGCCAGAUUUGAUUAAAGAGUCUGAACAGAAGGUGAAGUUGAUUCGCGAUAGGCUCAAGGUAGCCCAGACCAGGCAGAAGAGCUAUGCAGAUUCAAAACGCAAGGAGACAGUUUAUGAAGUCGGAGACAAAGUUUAUCUUCAUGUAUCUCCACUUCGAGGAGUUAAGCGUUUUGGAGUUAAGGGAAAGUUAGCGCCACGUUUUGUAGGACCAUACAAAGUUUUGGAGCGUAUGGGAGAAGUUGCGUACAAGUUGGAAUUGCCCGAAGGAUUGUCAGGAGUUCAUGAUGUGUUCCACGUAUCUCAGUUGAAGAAGUGCCAUGCGGAUAUGGCUGAGAUACGACUGAGAGAUACAGUGCCACUGGAAGUGAUUCAGCUGGAUAGGGAUUUGACCUAUGAGGAGAAACCCGUUAAGAUUCUCGAAUAUGCCAGCCGAGUCACUCGCAAGGUUAUCAAGUUUUGCAAAGUUCAGUGGAGCCACCACACCGAGGAUGAAGCCACCUGGGAGCGAGAGGAAGAUCUACUGAAGGACCAACCUCACCUAUUUUCCAGCCAACCCGAAUCUUGAGGGCGAGAUUCAUCUUAAGGGGGGUAGGUUUGUAACAUCCCAAAUUUUCAAUUUGGAAUAUUAUACAUUAGAUCAUCAUUGCAUAUCAUAUUUUAUUGCAUUUUGGCUUGAUCCUAGAAAUUCUACGGAACUCAAGGACCCACGGAGAGAGUUGGGGAUUUCGUUAUUUUCAUAUUUGAGUUUUCUCAAAUUUUGAAAAUAGGAUCAUUUGAUUUUAUUUAUUUUAUCUUCAAAUAUUUCUAUUACAAAAAUAAAAGAGAGGGAAUAAAAUGACUUUCCCAAAAUAAAAAUAUAUUGAGGAUUUAAUGAUAAAAUCAAAUAAUAUUUUAUUUCGGAGUUUUUCGCUAUUUUAUUUGAAUUUAGGAAAAUUGCACGUUUUUUAAAACUGCAUUUUAGGGCCAAGAAAAUGUUCAUCUCGUCCUAAAUAUUUUAUUUAGAUGGCGAAUUUUUUUUGGGCAUUUUUGGAGUUUUAUUUUAUUUUCUAGGAUUUAUUUUAGUUUUGGCGGAAUUUUUUUUUUAAAAUCUUUUCCCGCGGACCGAACUGGGCCGAAGGCCCAGCCGGCCCACUUGCUCGCGCUGCCUNNNNNNNNNNNNNNNNNNNNNNNNNNNNNNNNNNNNNNNNNNNNNNNNNNNNNNNNNNNNNNNNNNNNNNNNNNNNNNNNNNNNNNNNNNNNNNNNNNNNNNNNNNNNNNNNNNNNNNNNNNNNNNNNNNNNNNNNNNNNNNNNNNNNNNNNNNNNNNNNNNNNNNNNNNNNNNNNNNNNNNNNNNNNNNNNNNNNNNNNNNNNNNNNNNNNNNNNNNNNNNNNNNNNNNNNNNNNNNNNNNNNNNNNNNNNNNNNNNNNNNNNNNNNNNNNNNNNNNNNNNNNNNNNNNNNNNNNNNNNNNNNNNNNNNNNNNNNNNNNNNNNNNNNNNNNNNNNNNNNNNNNNNNNNNNNNNNNNNNNNNNNNNNNNNNNNNNNNNNNNNNNNNNNNNNNNNNNNNNNNNNNNNNNNNNNNNNNNNNNNNNNNNNNNNNNNNNNNNNNNNNNNNNNNNNNNNNNNNNNNNNNNNNNNNNNNNNNNNNNNNNNNNNNNNNNNNNNNNNNNNNNNNNNNNNNNNNNNNNNNNNNNNNNNNNNNNNNNNNNNNNNNNNNNNNNNNNNNNNNNNNNNNNNNNNNNNNNNNNNNNNNNNNCGCCUCCCCGCCCCGCCGGAGCCCCGAGUCCCGUCGGACCCAACGAGGUAACCGCCGGCGUCGCCGUUUUUAAAAAAACCCGUUCGGUUUUUUUAAAAACCCUAGAUCUGUUUUUUUGGUUCGUCGUUUUUUCUCGGUUUAGUUAUUUAACGGACGUUCAUACGUACAUUCGUUUUAACGAACGGUUUUCGUCGUUUAGUCGCAGACAGCGAACGUUCGUUCGAUAGCCUGUUCGUCCGUUUUUCUUUUUCUCAGAUUUUCCGCGAUUAUUCCAGAUCGUAAUUUCUGAUCCGAUUUUCAUUUUAGUAUAAAUUUUCGUCAGUUUAUCGGAAUCAGGCGAUUCAAGCACCUAGAGUUUCGUCUCGAAACCCUCUUUCCAUUUAACCAACUCAAACAAGUUUUUGCUACUAUAAAAUUUGACUUAGGUCCAGAUUAGUAAAAGAAGCUUGUUUCUUUCGCCGUUUGACUUUUGUUGCUUCAGUUGAUUUGAUUCUUUUUGCAAACCGGAGUUCUUAAGUUGAACUUUCUGGUUAGAUCUCUUAUUUGAGUUUUACCUGUGCAUUAGUUGAGUGCUUAUUGCAUGCUUGUUUGUUUGCGAUAAAGUACCCGGAGUGCGCCGCUUGCUACUUCAAAUCUCUAGGUUUCACGGAUCAUCAGCAAGGCAAGUAACACUUUGAUCAUACCUCUUUACUACCCAGUUUUAUUGAAUUAGAUCAACCCUCAAACAAUUGCAUGAUUAGGAUCUGUUUUAAACUGUGGGUUUUGGGAAGUAGAUUGAGGUAGUACCUAUUACCUGUUUUAUUAUCAAACCUUUGGGAGUUACUUCUAUGUUUGCUUAUAUUGCCAUGCUAUGCUAGUAGACGUGGAUUGGGUGAGUGUAUCCAUGACAGAUGUGAGAUUGUUAUUUAAUGGUUUAUUUAAGGUGGCAACUUUAAUACACAUCUGGGUGGAUUGAGGCACCUGGGGAACCCGGUGAUUGCCUGUUUUUUUGAUGGACCGCCACCCAGGCUCAAAGGGACCAUGAGAUUAUUCAUGCUAGAAACUUCCGUGUGCAGGCGCAAGCUACUAUGGGCUCUAGAAUAGUUGAUUAAGUCAUGUGAACUCUUAUAGUGGUAGACUAGCAGAUGUAGGGGAAAGUAGGUGUAACUGUCUACCCGAUCUUAAGGUGCAAACGGUUAUGAAAGACUAUGUCUCGACCAUCCGUUUCUCAAACACCUUGUAGUGCGAGAAUUCCAACGGAGGAGAUCGAGUCUUGUGGGGAAAGUGCUCAAACCUCUGCAGAGUGUACAAACUAAUCAUGGUUAGCCGUGUCCUCGGUUAUGGACGUUUUGAGUAUCUAGUACUUGGAUUUUCAUGUGAAUCUCAUCAUGUUACUUUAAUUUAAUUUGUUGGGUUUAAUGAUUAUGCUUAAUUGGGAUUGAGUUGGGUGAACCUUCUCAAUGUUAACAACCACCAUGAUAGUUAAAUAAAAUUUAUUCCUUUGUAGUAGGGAAUAAUUGGCUUUAUUGAAAACUGUAACAUAGAGUUUUCCACUAGCCAUAUAUGCAUGUAGUAUAGCAUUAUUCUGUUCAUUACUCUCUAUGUGUUUCAUUGCCAGCAUAUUCCAUGUGCUGACCCGUUUUCGGGCUGCAACAUUCAUGUUGCAGACUUUUCAGAGGACGAGUAAGGUGCCUUAGGUCGUGGUCUUAUACUCAGUGAUGCCAUUGGAGUUGAUGGACUUUCUUAUCUUCCAAGCCUUCCGCUAUUAUCGUUAUUAGAUGGCCUCAAGCCAUAUUUAUUGUAAUAAGUUCUCUUUUGAGACAUUCGAUGUAAUAAGUGUGUGAUUGCUACUCUGUUAUAAAUCCUUCGAGUACUGUGCGUGUCAGCAUUACUGAUCCAGGGAUGACACUGAUGCACAGAGAUCAGACUGUUUGAGGUAUUGUCGCUACAAUCGGAAACUUAAAUACAUGUGUGGAUAUAUAAACGAAAUAUUGUGUCCCUAGUGAGCCUCUACUAGACUAGCUCGUUGAUCAAAGAUGGUUAACGUUUCCUAACAUAGACAUGUGUUGUCAUUUAAUAACGGGCUCACAUCAUUAGAAGAAUGAUGUGAUGGACAGGACCCAUCCGUUAGCUUACCAUAUGAUCGUUCAGUUUAUUGUUAUUGCUUUCUUAAUGUCAAAUACAUAUUCCUUCGACCAUAAGAUCAUGCAACUACCGGAUACCGUAGGAAUACCUUAUGUGCUAUCAAACAUCACAACGUAACUGGGUGAUUAUAAAGAUGCUCUACAUGUAUCUCCAAAGGUGUUUGUUGAGUUGGCAUGAAUCGAGAUUAAGAUUUGUCACUCCGUGUAUCAGAGGGGUAUCUCUGGGCCCUCUCGGUAAUACACAUCACAAGAAGUUUGCAAGCAAAGUAACUAAGGAGUUAGUUACGAGAUGAUGUAUUAUGGAACGAGCAAAGAGACUUGCCAGUAACGAGAUUGAACUAGGUAUGAAGAUACCGAUGAUCGAAUCUCGGGCAAGUAACAUACCGAUAGACAAAGGGAAUUACGUAUGGUGUCAUAAGGUUCGGCCGAUAAAGAUCUUCAUAAAAUAUGUAGGAACCAAUAUGGGAAUCCAGGUUCCGCUAUUGAUUAUUGAUCGGAGAGGUAUCUUGGUCAUGUCUACAUAGUUCUUGAACCCGUAGGAUCCGCACACUUAACAUUCCUUGACGAUAUAGUGUUAUAUGAGUUGGUGACCGAAUGCUGUUUGGAGUCCCAGAUGAGAUCACGAAUAGGACGAGGAGCUACGGAUUGGUCCGGAGGUUAAGAUUGAUAUAUAGGAUGAUGCUAUUUGGACACCGGAAGAGUUUCGGGAGAUACCGGGUAGUCAUCGGAUCACCGGAAGGGGUUUCAGGAACCCCCGGGAGGUUAAUGGGCCAUUAAACCCAUUAAGAGGCGCUAUAAUGGUGGUCAACCAGCUACGCCAUGUGUUGCAUGCUGGUUGGUCAUGGUGAGAAUGUUUUUUUUGGAGUUUUUUAAAUGGUAGGGAGGCUUUCGAGAAAAGCUUUUCUAGGCUUUUUCUUUGUUCUUUUAAGAUGGUUGUGAUGUCUAUGUGAUGCGAGAAUAUCUUUUUAAUUUUUUUGACAUGAUGAUAAGGUGCGCAUAUCUUCCUCUCAAGCGACCCGCAAUGGCAGGCCCCAACAACUAGUGUGGGCCAAAGGGGGAGGACACACCAACCCACAAGGGGCUGGCGUGCCCCUUCUAAUGCCGCAGCCCUUCGGGAGAGAAGGAAAGGGGGGAGUCAGCCUCCCCCUUCCUUCCCUCUCCUCCCCUUUCCCUCCCCCUUGUGCAAACAAGGUACGCGGGGGCGGGGGGGAGGGGUGCCACAGGGCAGGAGCCCAAGGGGGCCGGCGGCCACCCUUGGGGUGCCUCCUGGCUGCCUCCCCUCCCCCACACCUAUAUAUAUGAGGGAGGGGGCACAACACAUAUGUCAGGACCCCGACUCAAUGCCACAUCGAUCUAGCAUGUAACACCUCAUAUCACUUUGCGGUCUCACGCACGGUAUCCCCACGGGUGUCGCCUUACCUUUCCCCGGGACCGUUUGCGCCUUUUGGCACAUGUAUAUGAUGGUGUCGCUAGCAUCCAUAUGAUAAAGAGCCCGGGCUGACAUGGCUAGUCGUAAACCCAAAGUGGCACUAACUUACAGGGACAGGCAUCCAUGACCUAGCAUCGAACGUGUCGGUCAUCAGCGGGUGAAUCCAGGCUGUAGCACUGGGCUAACAGGACUCCGGUGAACCGGGCUGUAGCAGGCUAACAGGACUCCAGUAUUCCUCGCGUGACAUUUCCCCGAAGGGACAGACACAUGAUCGAAGAAGGACACAUGCCGGCCAGCCUAAGUGUUCCGGAGCAGUAGCAAGCUACCAGGGCUCAGUGGAAGCACUAGGAGACAUUUCCCGGUAAGAGAGGCUACUAAGGAUAAACAACUAGAUAGUCAGAUCCCACACAUAGCAAUACACAUUACACGUACGCAUAACAUGCAAGUAUGUGCUGUAUAACAUGGCAUCACAGCAUAACUCAACAACUCAUAUAGAUAAGGCUCAAAGAGCCAACAUAGCAAUAUUACAACCAGGGGUCACACGACCCAACGUUCAGAGCAAUCAAGCAACAAACAGAAGCAUUACAUGUCUGAGUACAGACAUCUAUAAAUGAAAAAGGCUGAAAGCCUGACUAUCUACAACGUCCGAUCAAGAUCGUAGUUGAGGUACAAGCUACUCGUCGAAGUCCAUGAGAACACUAGUAAGACCGAAGUCUCCGCUGCAAAAGCAUAAAUAAAGCAACAUGAGUACAAAGGUACUCAGCAAGACUUACAUCAGAUCCUAUCAUACAUGCAUUUGUAUCAAGAGGGUAAUGUGGGGUUUAGUUGCAGCAAGCCAGCUUUGACUCUGUGGCUAUCCUGUUCUACGACUACCAAAAAAUCUUGAGGUGAGACAACGUACACAAGUCCACUAAUCACCACACAAUACACUACUAUGGAUUCAUCCCCGUCUCCCUACGAGAAGGCCAUCCAUAGCACUCACACUUGUCUUGAGCAUUUUAGAGUAUCCACUUCAAGUUGUCUAUGUACCAUGUAAGCAUCCAAGAAGUCCAUAACCGCGGACCUGGCUAUUCGAAUAGAUCAUGUUAACCCUGCAGGGGUGUACUUCUUCACACACGCUCUCGCCACUUACCACCAUGUACACGUCAUGUAUCUCGACAACCUUCAAGCAGAAGCCUGGCGAGGGUGUCGGCCACGACCUGACUAACCACACAAGACUCUAGCCCAGGUUUAUCGCCUAUUCGGGUUCCAUCCGCAAGGAGAUCCGGCCGGGGUGUCGCUCACGGCCCCAAACGAUGUGAGCAGGGUUCCCAAGCCCACCAUCCGGGUGCCACUUGGUACACCGUGCCACCUGUGCCUAGUCUGUCCCAAGCCCACCCUGCCGGGUGCCACUUGGUAGAAAAAUAGCACUACCUACAAACACCAGAAACUAGUUGCGACUCCUGGACAUAGAUCAAGUUGGCUAAUAAGUCGAGAGGGGCACUUAAGCAUUCCAAUGUGUGGUAGUAUCGAGUCAUUGGACAACAUACAUAGAACUCAGUGCUUAAGGACGGUUCCAAUGAGACAACCCACCAUGUACUCCUACAUGGCCUCUCACCGCUACCUUUACCAAAUCGUGUUCACACACUUAACUCUCAGCACCAGAACAUAUCGUAACACUCCAAUUCAUCCCAAUGAAUCAGACCUGACACAAUUCUAAGCAAUAGUAGGCAUAGCAUGGUAGGAACACAUCAGUGGCUGCAAUCAACUCCUACACAUGCUAGUGGGUUUCAACUAUUUACUAUGGCAAUGACAGGUCAUGCAGAGGAAUGGGUUCAACUACCGCAGCACAAAGUAGCAGAUGAAUCGUUGUUGUUCUAAUGCAAUAACUGAGAGCAGGAGCGAGAGAGUAGGGUUUUAUCGAAAUGAACAAGGGGGUUUGCUUGCCUGGUAGAUCAACAAGGAAGGCACUGCUUCAUAGACAGGCACUCUGGAACAGACUCCGGAGCAGGACCUAUCGAGAAGGAACAGUGUCGGCAAUUAAUACACAAACAUAUGCAACAAUAUGAUGCAUGAACAUGGCAUGAGGAUGUGAGGUUGUUUGAGCUAAUGCAACUAGUAAUCAUUUGGUUUGAAGUCCAUUUGAACCAUAAGCUCAAAUGCAAUUCUAAAUUAAGUCUCUUAAUAUGCCAUAAUGUGUUUUCCCAUAUUCAGCAUGUAUAAGUUGGUUUGUCAUGCAUGAAACUAGUACAGAUGGAUAGAUUGCAUUUUUCUGAUAAUUUUUCAUAUAUAAAUUAUUUUAAUCUGAGCUACGGUUGAUUUGAUAUGAAUUUUUGAAGUUUAAAUCAAUUUCUGGAAUUUCCUGAUUUAUUCUAAUUCCAGAAAAUAUAUAUUGCGCCGGCAUGACGUCAGCACGACGUCAGCAGUCAACUGCGGCUGACUGGGGUCAAACCUGAUGUGUGGGGUCCACACGUUAGUGACAGGGGGGUUUAACCGAGGUUAGUUUAAUCCUAAUUAAAAGUUAGUGGCGCUGGGGCCCACUGUCAGUGUUAGGGGGGGUUAGUUAACGGUUAUUAGCACUAAGCUAAUCACCUGGCCGACGGGGCCCACCCGUCAGGCCGGCGAGGUCAUCGGCGGCGACCUCUGGACGCGGCGGCGUCCGCGAUACCGGCCACGGGGACGGCGUCGGAGAGCACCGAGGCGUAGCCCGGGCUCUCGCGCAUCUGGAGGGGCAGGUGGGAGGAGCUGGGGAGGCCGGAGCUCGCCGGAGCAAAGCUCGGGGCGGCGGCCGGAGUUCGGUGAAGAGGGACGGAGCGCUAUGGUGCACGGGAGGAAGAGUGGGUAGGUGCUCUGUGUUCCUGGGAACGCGCCGAGGACGACAGCGUGCUCAGACGCGACGUGUGGGGGCUCUAGCCGCGGCGACCUCGUGGCCGGCGGCGAUGAGCUCUCGGGCUCGACGGAGCCCGCGGUUGGAGGAAGAAAUCGGCAUCGGGGAGGGGGAGGUUCGGUGCGGGGGCUCACAGCGAGACCAGCGAGCGCGAGGGCGAGGUCGGGGAUGCCCGGUAGCUCCCGAAUGGACGGCGAGGAUCCACGGCGGCCGGAGGCGAAGUUGGCGACGGCGACGGCUCCACGGGGUGCUCCGUCUUGCGUGGCUCGACGAGGAGGUAGAGGGGGUCGCGGCGGAUCUGGGGAGCGUGUCGGGGAGGCGAGGGGGAGGCGGUGGCUACGGCUACGGUGGACGGCGGCGAUGAGCUCCGCUCGGCUGCGCGCGAGAGAGAGAGCAGAGGAGGGGGGAAGGAACGAGAGAGAGUGAGAGGGUACGGGGGGGGUGGCGUCUCCCGGGGCAUCCAGACGAGGAGGGGAGAGGGCAGGCAGGCAGAGAGGGAGGAGGUGGCGCGGCGCGGCACGCAGCUACUUGGCGAGGGGGAGAAGACGACAGAGGAGGAGGCGGGCUGGGCCGCCUGCUGGCUGGGCCGGCCUGCUGCUGCUGGGCUGCACAGGGAGGAGGCCCAGGUAAGUCUCCCUCUUUUAUUUUUGUUUUCUAAUUUUUUCUGACAUUUGUUUUGAUUUAAUUAAAAUAUGAAAUCAUUUAAUUACCUUAUGCCAAUUUUUGCAGGAGCUAGCUAUAUUAUUCCAGAGCUCCUUUAUAAAUGGCUUAAUUUUUGGACAAUAUUUUAUAUAUAUAACAAUAUAUAUCCAAAGCAAAUAAUUAUCGGAUUAAUCCAAAUGGCCAAAAUUAAAUAUCCAUAAGCUCCUAAAAAUAUUGGUUUGAUUUUUAUCUUUGUCCAAUAUUUUCAGAGAGCAACAUGAGCAUUUUCUUGGACCCUUUUGGAGAAAUUUUUAUUUGCGUCAUUUUCAAAAAUGAUUCUGAGGGUUCCACCAAUCCUCAUUUCAAAUUUAAAUGAAUUUUAAACAUGAUGCACAAAUGACUAGCUAGUCUAGGUCAUACCAGACUAGGGAUGUGACAACUCGCCCCCACUUGAAAGAAUCUCGUCCCGAGAUUCAGGGGUUGACGGAAAGAAAGCGGGGUACUCCAGUCGAAGACGAUCUUCUCGCUCCCAAGUAGCUUUUCUCUCGGAAUGAUGAGACCACUGAACUUUGAGAAACUUGAUGUUCUGACGUCGGGUAACACGCUCGGCUUGAUCAAGAAUGCGAACCGGGUACUCUCGGUAUGUGAGGUUAUCUUGGAGAUCAAGCGUUUCGUGGUCCACUCCGCGGAUGGGAUCCGAGAAGCAACGCCUGAGUUGAGAGACGUGGAAGACAUCAUGAACUCAAGAAAGAGGUGGGGGUAGUUCCAACUGGUAGGCAACCUCUCCUCGUUUAGCGAGAAUACGAAAAGGACCAAUGUAACGAGGAGCCAACUUGCCCUUGAUACCGAAAUGAUGGGUACCCUUCAAAGGAGUAACCCGAAGGUAAGCCUUUUCGCCAACUUCAUAAGUCAUAUCCUUAUGAUGACGAUCAUACUGACUCUUUUGACGAGACUGGGCUGUUUUCAAAUUCCCACGAAUGAUGCGAACUUGCUCUUCUGCCUCCUGGAUCAUGUCCGGUCGAAAGAAUUGUCUUUCACCGGUUUCUGACCAGUUCAAAGGUGUUCGACAUCUCCAUCCAUAGAGAACCUCAAAAGGAGCUUUCUUAAGGCUGGAUUGAUAGCUAUUGUUAUAAGCAAACUCAGCAAAAGGAAGACAUUUCUCCCAAUCCAUACCGAAUGAGAUAACGCAAGCUCUAAGCAUGUCUUCGAGAAUUUGAUUGACCCGUUCCACCUGACCACUCGACUGAGGGUGGAAAGCGGUACUGAAGGAAAGAUGGGUUCCCAUGGCAGUUUGGAAACUCUCCCAGAAAUGAGAAGUGAAAAGACUGCCACGGUCUGAAUUGAUCUCCAGUGGAACACCAUGGAGUGAUACUAUUCGAGAAAUGUAUAAGUCAGCAAGCUGACUAGCGGUGAUACUCUCUCGAACAGGAAGGAAGUGAGCCACUUUGGAAAGACGAUCAACGACUACGAAGAUAGUGUUAUUCCCUCUUUUGGUCCUGGGAAAGCCGGUGAUGAAGUCCAUACCAAGUUUAUCCCAUUUCCAUUCAGGAAUAGCUAAAGGCUGAAGGGUGCCAGCAGGUCUCUGAUGCUCUGCCUUAACGCGACGACGAACGUCACAUUUAGCAAUGAACUCAGCGAUUUCUCUCUUCAUCCUAGUCCACCAGAACCUCUGGCGUAGGUCCUGAUACAUCUUAGUGCUACCGGGAUGAAUUGUGAGAGGAGAUUCAUGCGCCUCCUUAAGAAUCAAUUGUCGCAGAUGUUGAUUCUUGGGAACCACCAAGCGAUUCUCAAAGAAAACAACACCACGAUCAUCCAUAGAGAAACAUCCACCAACUCCCUUCUUAAUGUUUUUCUUAAUGCGGAUAACACCCCUAUCAAACUUCUGGUCAGAGAUGAUCUGAUCUUCAAGGGUAGGUUUCGCCACCAAGGUAGAAAGGAAUCCAUGAGGAGCCAUGUGAAGGUUAAGCUUACAGAAUUCCUCAUGGAGAAGUGGUUGGCCUUGCUGCAACAUGAAAUUGUUGCAAUAGGAUUUACGGCUUAGAGCAUCAGCCAUGACAUUGGCUUUGCCUGGGGUGUAGGUAAUCCCUAGACCAUAAUCUGUGAUUAACUCCAACCAACGUCUUUGCCUAAGGUUCAGAUCCGGUUGGGUGAAGAUAUACUUGAGACUCUGGUGAUCGGUGUAGAUCUCGCAACGUUUACCAAGGAGGUAAUGUCGCCAGGUCUUGAGUGCAUAGACUACGGCUGCAAGCUCUAGAUCAUGUGUAGGAUAAUUACCCUCAUGUGGAUGCAACUGUCGAGAUGCAUAGGCAAUCACAUGACGAUCUUGCAUAAGAAUGCAACCUAGUCCCUGUCGUGAGGCGUCGCAGUAGAUAAUAAAGUCCUUUGUGAAAUCCGGUGGCACAAGUAUGGGAGCAGAAGUCAGGCGUCUUUUCAGUUCCUGAAAACUGUACUCACACUGUCGGGACCACUCGAACUUUUUAUCCUUCUUGAGAAGUUCCGUGAGGGGUUUGGCUACUUUGGAGAAGUUUUCAACAAAGCGGCGACAAUAGCUGGCUAGACCAAGGAAGCUCCUAACUUGCUUAACGGUCUCAGGUGGAGUCCAAUCAAGAACGGCUUGAACUCUCUCGGGAUUGACAGCAAUGCCCUUACCAGAGAUUACGUGGCCUAAGUAGGUCACUUCUAGCAACCAAAAUUCACACUUGGAGAACUUGGCAUAAAGGCGGUGCUCUCUGAGUUUUUCUAACACAAGUCUAAGAUGUUCGACAUGCUCUUCCUCGUUCUUCAAGUAAAUAAUAAUAUCAUCAAGGUAAACCACGACGAACUUAUCUAAGUACUCCAUGAAGAUCGAGUUCAUCAAGCGGGAGAAUGUGGCUGGGGCGUUGGUUAGGCCAAAGGACAUGACGGUGUACUCGUACUGGCCAUAACGAGUGACAAAAGCUGUCUUGGGAAUGUCCCCGUUUCUGAUCUUAAUUUGGUGGUAUCCUAACCUCAAAUCCAACUUGGAUAAGACUGAGGAUCCAGCGAGCUGAUCAUACAGAUCAUUGAUCCUGGGGAGCGGAUAUUUGUUCUUUAUCGUGACCAAGUUAACAGGACGAUAAUCUACAACCAUCCGGUCCGUACCAUCCUUCUUCUUGACGAAGAGGACGGGGCAAGCCCAAGGAGAAGAACUAGGACGGAUGAAACCCUUUUGCAAGGACUCAUCAAGUUGUUUCUUAAGCUCGGCUAGAUCCAAGGGUGCCAUCUUGUAAGGUCUCCUAGAGAUUGGAGCUGUUCCUGGGAUAAGAUCUAUGACGAACUCUACAUCUCUGUCAGGUGGAACACCUGGCAGUUCCUCUGGAAAGACAUCCGGAAAGUCACGGACUACCGGGAUAUCUUCAAGGUCUGGAAGAGGGCUGGUAUUAAGAGCAUAGAGCUGACGCUUUGCAACUCUAGUGGAGACAGUGACUAUCUUGCCAGAUGGGUGUGUAAGCUGAACAGAUCUUGUGUAACAAUCAAUCUUGGCAUGAUGAGCUAUCAUCCAGUCCAUACCCAAGAUGAUGUUAAUAUCUGAGGACUUGAGGGCUACGAGUGAGGCAAGGAAUACAAGUCUGUCAACAAGGAUUUCGUUACCAUGGCUUACACUAGAGGUUUGCCAUUUGGAUCCAGGAGUUUGGAUGACUAGCGGAGUUGGCAUAUCACAAAAUGACAGAUUGUGCAAGUUAGCAUAGCUUUCAGAAAUGAAGGAGUGAGAUGCUCCAGUAUCGAAUAGAACUGAUGCUGGGUGACAAUUGACAAGGAGUGUACCAAGAACGACAUCCGGAUCAUCAUGAGCAUCUUUAGCUGAGACGUGAUGCACACGUCCACGUUCAGUGGGGGCUGACUUGACACUGAUCAUCUUGCGUGAUGGCUUAACACAUCCAACAGUCUUCUCGGGCUGGGGUGGAGCAUAACUAGUCUGAGAGCAGUCACGUGCAUAGUGUCCUGGCUUCCCGCAUGUGAAGCAAGUCCCUGAGGUUGGACGUGGACCCGCACUGACAAGGGGUCUACCAGUAGGCCUGGGUGGAACAUAUGACUGAGCUGGGGGAGGCACCACAUGGGAUGACCUCGGUGUAUAACCGGAAGGAAGAGCGGAGUUUGGAACCCAAAUCCGGUGCUUUUGAGAACUAGAACCGGAAGAAGAUCCCAAAUCACGGGGGUGCUUACGAGACUCCUCGUAAGUGAGCUGAGCUGUCUCUGCAUUGAUGGCCUUGUUCACAAGGGCUUGGAAUGUAUCACAAUGAUGCAGGUGGAGAUCACGACGCAACUUGGGGUUGAGACCCUUCCGGAACCUAGCUUGCUUCUUGGCGUCCGUGGACACUUCUUCUGUAGCAUAGCGGGCGAGGUUCUCAAACUCUCUACUAUAAGCAUCAACAGCCAUCUUACUCUGGGUGAGACUACAGAACUCUUAUCUCUUGCGAUCAAGGAGGGCCUGGGGAAUGUGAUGCUCGCGAAAAGCCUCAGUGGAAUCUCUCCAGGUAGGAAUCUGGCCAGCUGGAAGCAUAGCCUCAUAGUUCUGCCACCAAAGACUAGCAGGACCUUCCAGGUGGUAUGUGGCAUAGGUGACCUUGUCAUCUUCAGCUACGCUCGCGGAACGCAGCUUAUGAAUGAUGCUACGGAGCCAGUCAUCUGCAUCGAGUGGCUCGAUGGAAUGAUGAAAGGUAGGUGGGUGCAAGCGAAUGAAGUCAUGAAUGGUCGCAGACUUAUUGGACUGACGUGCGGUGUUCUCCUCGAUACGUGCCAACAAACGGUUAGACUCACGCUUGUUCCUCUCCAUCUCUAACAUGAACUCUGUCAACGAAGGCGGGUCGGGAGGAUCCUCAUCCCUACCAUCUCCAUGGUUCUGGCUACAAAUAAUAGAACUUGAUGACAUCCUGAGAAACGAAACCAGGGACGGAGUCAGCAUCAACUAUAGACUGUAGAAUGUAGGACAAGGAAUUAGUAUCUCUCGAACUUCUAGGGAAAUUCCGGCAGCAUAACGACAGUAAAAUGCUCAGAAUGAGACAUCCCGCUAAAAUAGGGUAGUAACAUACUCAUCAACAUUACUCAAGUUUCUGAGAUCAUACUAAACAGGCUACACCAGGAGUACUCGAAAACUGGGGUAUGACUCUGAUCAACCAAUCCUAUGGGACUACGGAGUAGUAACACGUGAUCCUGAUAGACGGAAGAGAAAGCCUAGUUCCUUAACCCCGUAGAAAGGAUAGGAUGACUCAGAUCAGAAGGCCAUGAGGUAUAAGGAGUAAAAAGAGCCUUACGUUCCAACCCACAAUCAAUUCCCUUACAUAACUAAAGAUUUUCUAGACUCAACUUCGACCAGUUUGGCUUGGUAAUCCUACAGGCAGUCAGGCUCUGAUACCAACGCUGUCAGGACUCCGACUCAAUGCCACAUCGAUCUAGCAUGUAACACCUCAUAUCACUUUGCGGUCUCACGCACGGUAUCCCCACGGGUGUCGCCUUACCUUUCCCCGGGACCGUUUGCGCCUUUUGGCACACGUAUAUGAUGGUGUCGCCAGCAUCCAUAUGAUAAAGAGCCCGGGCUGACAUGGCUAGUCGUAAACCCAAAGUGGCACUAACUUACAGGGACAGGCAUCCAUGACCCAGCAUCGAAUGUGUCGGUCAUCAGCGGGUGAAUCCAGGCUGUAGCACUGGGCUAACAGGACUCCGGUGAACCGGGCUGUAGCAGGCUAACAGGAUUCCGGUAUUCCUCGCGUGACAUUUCCCCGAAGGGACAGACACAGGAUCGAAGAAGGACACAUGCCGGCCAGCCUAAGUGUUCCGGAGCAGUAGCAAGCUACCAGGGCUCAAUGGAAGCACUAGGAGACAUUUCCCGGUAAGAGAGGCUACUAAGGAUAAACAACUAGAUAGUCAGAUCCCACACAUAGCAAUACACAUUACACGUAUGCAUAACAUGCAAGUAUGUGCUGUACAACAUGGCAUCACAGCAUAACUCAACAACUCAUAUAGAUAAGGCUCAAAGAGCCAACAUAGCAAUAUUACAACCAGGGGUCACACGACCCAACGUUCAGAGCAAUCAAGCAACAAACGGAAGCAUUACAUGUCUGAGUACAGACAUCUAUAAAUGAAAAAGGCUGAAAGCCUGACUAUCUACAACGUCCUAUCAAGAUCGUAGCUGAGGUACAAGCUACUCGUCGAAGUCCAUGAGAACACUAGUAAGACCGAAGUCUCCGCUGCAAAAGCAUAAAUAAAGCAACAUGAGUACAAAGGUACUCAGCAAGACUUACAUCAGAUCCUAUCAUACAUGCAUUUGUAUCAAGAGGGUAAUGUGGGGUUUAGUUGCAGCAAGCCAGCUUUGACUCUGUGGCUAUCCUGUUCUACGACUACCAGAAAAUCUUGAGGUGAGACAACAUACACGAGUCCACUAAUCACCACACAAUACACUACUAUGGAUUCAUCCCCGUCUCCCUACGAGAAGGCCAUCCAUAGCACUCACACUUGUCUUGAGCAUUUUAGAGUAUCCACUUCAAGUUGUCUAUGUACCAUGUAAGCAUCCAAGAAGUCCAUAACCGCGGACCCGGCUAUUCAAAUAGAUCAUGUUAACCCUGCAGGGGUGUACUUCUUCACACACGCUCUCGCCACUUACCGCCAUGUACACGUCAUGUAUCUCGGCAACCUUCAAGCGGAAGCCUGGCGAGGGUGUCGGCCACGACCUGACUAACCACACAAGACUCUAGCCCAGGUUUAUCGCCUAUUCGGGUUCCAUCCGCAAGGAGAUCCGGCCGGGCUGUCGCUCACGGCCCCAAACGAUGUGAGCAGGAUUCCCAAGCCCACCAUCCGGGUGCCACUUGGUACACCGUGCCACCUGUGCCUAGUCUGUCCCAAGCCCACCCUGCCGGGUGCCACUUGGUAGAAAAAUAGCACUACCUACAAACACCAGAAACUAGUUGCAACUCCUGGACAGAGAUCAAGUUGGCUAAUAAGUCGAGAGGGGCACUUAAGCAUUCCAAUGUGUGGUAGUAUCGAGUCAUUGGACAACAUACAUAGAACUCAGUGCUUAAGGACGGUUCCAAUGAGACAACCCACCAUGUACUCCUACAUGGCCUCUCACCGCUACCUUUACCAAAUCGUGUUCACACACUUAACUCUCAGCACCAGAACAUAUCGUAACACUCCAAUUCAUCCCAAUGAAUCAGACCUGACACAAUUCUAAGCAAUAGCAGGCAUAGCAUGGUAGGAACACAUCAGUGGCUGCAAUCAACUCCUACACAUGCUAGUGGGUUUCAACUAUUUACUGUGGCAAUGACAGGUCAUGCAGAGGAAUGGGUUCAACUACUGCAGCACAAAGUAGCAGAUGAAUCGUUGUUGUUCUAAUGCAAUAACUGAGAGCAGGAGCGAGAGAGUAGGGUUUUAUCGAAAUGAAAAAGGGGGUUUGCUUGCCUGGUAGAUCAACAAGGAAGGCACUGCUUCAUAGACAGGCACUCUGGAACAGACUCCGGAGCAGGACCUAUCGAGAAGGAAUAGUGUCGGCAAUCAAUACACAAACAUAUGUAACAAUAUGAUGCAUGAACAUGGCAUGAGGAUGUGAGGUUGUUUGAGCUAAUGCAACUAGUAAUCAUUUGGUUUGAAGUCCAUUUGAACCAUAAGCUCAAAUGCAAUUCUAAAUUAAGUCUCUUAAUAUGCCAUAAUGUGUUUUCCCAUAUUCAGCAUGUAUAAGUUGGUUUGUCAUGCAUGAAACUAGUACAGAUGGAUAGAUUGCAUUUUUCUGAUAAUUUUUCAUAUAUAAAUUAUUUUAAUCUGAGCUACGGUUGAUUUGAUAUGAAUUUUUGAAGUUUAAAUCAAUUUCUGGAAUUUCCUGAUUUAUUCUAAUUCCAGAAAAUAUAUAUUGCGCCGGCAUGACGUCAGCACGAUGUCAGCAGUCAACUGCGGCUGACUGGGGUCAAACCUGACGUGUGGGGUCCACACGUCAGUGACAGGGGGGUUUAACCGAGGUUAGGUUAAUCCUAAUUAAAAGUUAGUGGCGCUGGGGCCCACUGUCAGUGUCAGGGGGGUUAGUUAAUGGUGAUUAGCACUAAGCUAAUCACCUGGCCGAUGGGGCCCACCCGUCAAGCCGGCGAGGUCAUCGGCGGUGACCUCUGGACGCGGCGGCGUCCGCAAUACCGGCCACGGGGACGGCGUCGGAGAGCACCGGGGCGUAGCCCGGGCUCUCGCGCAUCUGGAGGGGCAGGUGGGAGGAGCUGGGGAGGCCGGAGCUCGCCGGAGCAAAGCUCGGGGCGGCGGCCGGAGUUCGGUGAAGAGGGACGGAGCGCUAUGGUGCACGGGAGGAAGAGUGGGUAGGUGCUCUGUGUUCCUGGGAACGCGCCGAGGACGACAACGUGCUCAGACGCGACGUGUGGGGGAUCUAGCCGCGGCGACCUCGUGGCCGGCGGCGAUGAGCUCUCGGGCUCGACGGAGCCCGCGGUUGGAGGAAGAAAUCGGCAUCGGGGAGGGGGAGGUUCGGUGCGGGGGCUCACAGCGAGACCAGCGAGCGCGAGGGCGAGGUCGGGGAUGCCCGGUAGCUCCCGAAUCGACGGCGAGGAUCCACGGCGGCUGGAGGCGAAGUUGGCGACGGCGACGGCUCCACGGGGUGCUCCGUCUUGCGUGGCUCGACGAGGAGGUAGAGGGGGUCGCGGCGGAUCUGGGGAGCGUGUCGGGGAGGCGAGGGGGAGGCGGUGGCUACGGCUACGGUGGACGGCGGCGAUGAGCUCCGCUCAGCUGCGCGCGAGAGAGAGAGCAGAGGAGGGGGGAAGGAACGAGAGAGAGUGAGAGGGUACGGGGGGGGGGUGUGGCGUCUCCCGGGGCAUCCAGACGAGGAGGGGAGAGGGCAGGCAGGCAGAGAGGGAGGAGGUGGCGCGGCGCGGCGGUGCGCGCGGCACGCAGCUGCUUGGCGAGGGGGAGAAGACGACAGAGGAGGAGGCGGGCUGGGCCGCCUGCUGGCUGGGCCGGCCUGCUGCUGCUGGGCUGCACAGGGAGGAGGCCCAGGUAAGUCUCCCUCUUUUAUUUUUGUUUUCUAAUUUUUUCUGACAUUUGUUUUGAUUUAAUUAAAAUAUUAAAUCAUUUAAUUACCUUAUGCCAAUUUUUGCAGGAGCUAGCUAUAUUAUUCCAGAGCUCCUUUAUAAAUGGCAUAAUUUUUGGACAAUAUUUUAUAUAUAUAACAAUAUAUAUCCAAAGCAAAUAAUUAUCGGAUUAAUCCAAAUGGCCAAAAUUAAAUAUCCAUAAGCUCCUAAAAAUAUUGGUUUGAUUUUUAUCUCUGUCCAAUAUUUUCAGAGAGCAACAUGAGCAUUUUCUUGGACCCUUUUGGAGAAAUUUUUAUUUGGGUCAUUUUCAAAAAUGAUUCUGAGGGUUCCACCAAUCCUCAUUUCAAAUUUAAAUGAAUUUUAAACAUGAUGCACAAAUGACUAGCUAGUCUAGGUCAUACCAGACUAGGGAUGUGACAACAUAGGCGACGACAAUCUCUUAGCCGUGUGCGGCGCCCCUCUCCAUAGUUUCGUCCCUCGGUCAUAUUUUCGAAGUUCUUAGGCAAAGCCCCGCGGAGAUAGCAUCACCACCAUCGUCACCAUGCCAUCAUGCUGCCGGAACGCAUCUACUACUUCACCCGUCUUGUUGGAUCAAGAAGGCAAGGACAUUACCGAGUUGAACGUGUGCUGAACGCGGAGGUGCCGUACGUUCGGUACUUGAUCGGUUGGAUCGCGAAGAAGUUCGACUACAUCAACCGUGUUAAUAAACGCUUCCGCUUACGGUCUACGAGGGUACGUAGACACACUCGUCCCCCUUAUUGCUAUGCAUCUUCAUGGAUAGAUCUUGCGUGUGCGUAGAUUUUUUUCCAUGCAAUGUUCCCCAUCAAAAAGGACUAGAGGGAGCAGCAUGCAACCUCAUGCAAAGCAUACUGAUGACAUGCUGAUAUGUCUCCGUCGUAUCUAUAAUUUUUGAUUGUUUCAUGCCAAUAUUAUACAACUUUCACAUAUUUUCGUAACAUUUUAUAUGAUUUAUUAGACUAACCUAUUGAUCUAAUGCCCAGUGCCAGUUUCUGUUUGUUGCAUGUUUUUGUGUUGCAGAAUAUCCAUAUCAAACAAAGUCCAGACGUGAUAAAAAAUGACGGAGAAUUAUUUUGGAAUAUUUAUGAUUUUUGGGAGGUGGAAUCAACGUAAAUGGAGGCCCAAGGCCUCCACAACCCACCAGGGCGCACCGGGCACCCCCUGGCGCGCCCAGGUGUCUUGUGCCCUCCCCGUAAGUCGGUUAGGGCCCUUCUUCAGGUGCAAGAAAGAUAAUUUAUGGAAAAAAUCAUGUAAUUUUUUUAGCACAAUCGGAGUUACGGGUCUCCGGGAAUUUAAGAAACGGUGAAGGGUCAGAAAACAGGAACGCGAAACAGAAGAGAACAGAGAGGGAGAUCCAAUUCAGAGGGGCUCCCGCUCCUCCGCCGCCAUGGAGGCCAUGGACAAGAGGGGGAACUCUCCUUCCAUCUAGGGGGUAGGCCAAGGAAGAAGAAGAAGGAGGGGGCUCUCUCCCCUCUCUCUCGCUGGCGCCGGAGUGCCGCCGGGGCAAGGAUCGUGACAACGAUCUACAUCGACAACCUUGCUACCGUCAACACCAACUCUCUCUCCCUCUAUGCAGCGAUGUAACACCUCUUCUCCCCGCUGUAAUCUCUACUUAAACAUGGUGAGGGAGUCCUGGAUAAGGGGGUAUCCGGACUGCCGGACUAUAUGCUUUGGCCGGACUAUUGGACUAUGAAGAUACAAGACAGAAGACUUCGUCCCGUGUCCGGAUGGGACUCUCCUUGGCGUGGAAGGCAAGCUUGGCGAUUCGGAUGUAGAUCUCCUCUUCUUUAAACCGACUCUUUGUAACCCUAGCCCUCUCUGGUGUCUAUAUAAACCGGAGGGUUUAGUCCGUAGGACACAACAACAACAAUCAUACCAUAGGCUAGCUUCUAGGGUUUAGCCUCUCUAAUCUCGUGGUAGAUCAACUCUUGUAAUACUCAUAUCAUCAAGAUCAAUCAAGCAGGAAGUAGGGUUUUACCUCCAUCGAGAGGGCCCGAACCUGGGUAAACAUCAUGUCCCCUGCCUCCUGUUACCAUUAGUCUUAGACGCACAGUUCGGGACCCCCUACCCGAGAUCCGCCGGUUUUGACACCGACAUAUGUGCUUUCAUUGAGAGUUCCUCUGUGUCGUCGCUACAGGGCUAGAUGGCUUCUCCAACCUUCAACCAUGCUGCCCUGGGUGAGAUUUUUCUCCCCGGAUAGAUCUUCGUGUUCGGCGGCUUCGCACCGCGGGCCAACUCGCUUGGCCAUCUGGAGCAGAUCGAUAGCUACGCCCCUAGCCAUCAGGCCAGGUUUGGAAACCUAAACUACACCGCCGACAUCCGCGGAGACUUGAUCUUCGACGGAUUCAGGCCCGUGUCAGGUGCACCGAACAAUCACGACGAGCAUGACCUAGAUCUGCAGUCAGACAUUAUUUGAAACAUCGCACCUGCUUCAGCUCCGGACUUCGUUCCAGAGCAGUCGUGCCUUCCAAGGAUGGGUGGAUGGACCCCGCCCCGGAGGCUGCAUUCUCAUCGGCGUUGGAGCCGAACACGGACUCCACUCCUCAGGAAAUCUGUACCUCCGGACCCCCGGACUCAUCUUCGGUAGUGUGUUCCGGACCGCGCGCAUCCGUGCCCAUCGAAUCUAAUUGGACUCCAGUCAUGGAGUUCACUGUCGCAGAUAUCUUUCAGCACUCACCCUUUGGAGACAUGCUGAACUCAUUAAGGUCUCUCUCUUUGUCAGGAGACUCCUGGCCGAACUAUGUCCGGCUCGAGUGGGAAGCUGGCGACGAAGAAAUUCGCUACCCACCCACCACCCACUUAAUAACCACGGUCGACGAUUUGACCGACAUGCUUAACUUCGACUUCGAAGACAUCGAUGGUAUAGACAACGAUGCGGGAGAAAAACAGGAACCACCGCCCACAGGGCGCUGGACUGCCACCUCUUCAUAUGAUAUAUAUAUGGUGGAUACUCCCAAAGAAAACAAUGGUGAUGAGGCAACGGGAGAUAACCCCUCGGGGAAGAAAGCAAAACAUGGGCGUCAUCGGCGCCGCUCCAAGCCUCGCCACAACAAUACCGGCACUGGAGAAGAAAAUCCAGAUGGCGUCUAAGAGGAAUAUGAUCCUAAUCAACCCACCUUCAAGCAAGCCGAACAGAAACACGGGCAGGCUAGCCCAGACGAACAUGCAACAGACGAAUACUUGGAGGAUGAUAACUAUAUGCCUUCCUCCGAAGACGAGGUGAGCCUCGGUAACAACGAAUUCGGCGUACCAGAGGAUCCCAUAGAGCAGGAGCGCUUCAAGCACAGGCUUAUAGCCACUGCACGUAGCCUGAAAAAGAAGCAGCAACAGCUUCGAGCUGACCAAGAUCUGCUCACAGACAGACGGACUAAUGCCCGGGUAACUGAAGAAUACGGACUCAAGCGCCAAACAAAAUACUACCCAAAAUGCAGGCUGCUACCUCAAUUCGAGGAGGCGGCACUAAAAAGUAAACGCAGGCCUACACCCCGCCGACAGCACACCGC
rnacentral:lncRNA from 1 species